rnacentral:lncRNA from 1 species
AAAAAGAUCAAUUACAGACAUGCAUUUAGGUAAAUAUAAUGGAGCAUAAAAUAUUACAAGUGUAAUAAUCGACAAAGAUUAAUGGAACAUAAUAAAAAACAAUCGACAAGACAAUGUAGUCCCUCAACAAACUGAACAACCCCAUUCAAGAUGUCUUGGGGACCACCAAACUAUUGUCAUGGGAGAGAAACAACCCCAUUCAAGAUGUCUUGGGGACCACCAAACUGUUGUCAUGGGAGAGAGUUGCACGGAGUUUUAAGGUUCCUCUUUUUCUUGCCGGUAAGCUUGGCUGAGAGAGACCCCGCUUCUUACCACACAUCUCCCCAUUCCUCUCUCACCACCAUAAAAAUCCAAAGAAACAGGGUGGGUUUGUAGCAUAUAUACUCACCAUCAAACAAUCUCUAUCACUUGGAAAAAAGGCAUGCAGCCUCCCACUACUGCCAUAACUCAUAAUCUUUUUACCGUAAAUCAUAAAAAUUUGGCCUCCACAUACAAGCACUGGAGAGGGAUGCCUAUCACCUUCCUUCAGCACAUUUUCACUAUCAUAUUCGAUCCCCAACUCGGGCAAGAUGUACGUUGAUUAUCUCCUCCCACUUUGUCUUCAGUUUUGCAAAACCACACCAUUAACUUUUUAGAUCAAGCCCUACUACAGCCACAAGAGAAACAUGGCCAUUCCUAUCCAAGAGCAACAUGGCCAACCCACACCGAGGGUGCACUAUCUCAACUGCCUCUCUCACCAUGUCGAAGCUGAUCAACCUGCAGUCCAUCAUAGCAUGUAUGGCCAAUCGAUAUAAGAUUCUUCGUGCCAAAGAUUAGAGGUUUUUUUGGCAUGCAAGCCUCCAUUGUCCCAUCAAUGAGUCAAACAGCUAGUAUUCCAGAAUGGGCUUCCUCCAUGCCAACACAUUCGAUACUGUAGUCAAAACCCUGAAUUUCCAAUGCUGGGGGUCGAAAUAGAAUCCAAAAUAGUAUGCUGAGGAUCAGGGAACUGCAGGAAGGCAGGCAGAUUGGCCGGAGAUUUUUCGUGGUGGGAGAAUGGGAGGAAGAAGGCACAGGAUUGAGAGGGAGAAUAAGGGCCGAGAGAGUGGGAGAAUAAGGGGCGAGAGAGUGGACCUGUACCAAAUAAGGAAGGGGAGGAUAAGAGUUCAUUCCAAGAUCUUGAGACAAUCUUGAGACCAUACAAGGGACAAGCCACUUGAGUAGGAUUUCUUCUACUAAGUCAUCAAGCAAAAUUCUCCCAUUGUGAGAGAGAAUAGAAAUUACCAGGUCAAAGAGAGUGGAUGAAAGAGAGAGAAUGAAAGGUACAGCUUUUAGAGAGAGAGAGAGAGAGUUUGUCAAGAGAGAGAGUGGUAACUGGUUAACAAGAGACUAGGUGAGAGAAAACAGAGGUGCGAGAGGGGGAGAAGAGACUGACAGAAAAGCAAAGUCACCUUCGAUGAGAGAGAGAGAGAUACCUAAGUAAAAAAAAAAAAGAGCGAGAGAGAGAGUUUGGAAUGAAUGACAAACAAUACUAGGCUCUUUGGGGUUUACAAAAUCAUCCCAAGUCAAUAGAAGUCAAAUACACGAAUUAUAAAAACUCUAGGUUGUGCUUUUCAAAACUUAAAAACACGACUAUGUAAAAUCAUUAAAAUACUUCACAAAUGUUAUGUGCUGGUUGUUGCUAUAAAUGAAGCAGAAACAUAGCUAACAACCUAAAACCAAAUAGAUUUACGGCCUGGUGUGUAAUUUGAAUUCAAAAAAAUUUGAAUUGGAUGACAUGGAAUUCCACCAAGAAACACUAUAUAAACGGCAAGAAGACGCUGCGACAAUGAUGCUAAGAGAAGUUUUCAUUUCCUAUCAUCGUCGCGGAGGAACCUAAAGGUCUUCAUAUACAAUGCCAAGGGCACCAACGGGAUUUCACAUUAAUGCCAAAGCCAUUUUCAUAACUUAUGCGCGUUGUUCUCUACCGUCAUCAGUAGUACUUGAACGGCUCAAAUUCAUCCACAAUAAUUCUACAUCAUCAGGAGAACAUCAUCAGGAUGGAACGCCCCAUCUCCAUCAUCUCCUUCAAUUUUUCAAAGUUAUCGACAUAUACGAUCCCAAAAGAUGGCAGAUCACUCAUGAGUCCACCACCUAUCAUUCAAACGUCCAAACAGCAAAGGAUCCUGCCGCAGUGCGUGCUUACAUCUCUAAAGAGGGAUCUUUCGUUGAUUAUGGAGAAUUCCAUGAACGACACAGAUCAAACACACAACAAAGGAUGACAUAUAGGCAUAUAUCAUCAUCUAUGUCCGCGGAGGAUUUCUUGUCCCGAUGUGAACAACAACCUAUUAUUUUUGCAACACAACUAGAAUUCCCUAAUCUUCCAGAUGAAUUAUUCAAUUGGAUGAAUGUGUUGCUUGCGCAAGCAAUACCUGACAGACCUAUAAGCAUUGUCAUAGAAGGUCUGAGUCGGACUGGGAACUCAACAGGCAAGAAGCUUAGCCCCGCACAAUUAUUUUAGUGGAUGGAUGGACUUCAGUGGUUAUUCGAAUGAUGCAAUACCCUGUCAUUGACAAUAUCGAAUUUCGCCAUUUAUCAACAAGAAAGAAUUAAUUGGCUCACAACAUAAGUUUGAGGCGCAUAUCAAAUAUGGACGUCCUGUUUCUAUUAAGGGUGGGAUACCAUCCAUUAUUUUAUGUAAUCCUGAUAUGUCAUGGAAGCUUUAUAGAACGGUUUUGAUUCUAGGGCCAUAUACUUUCAUCUGUACCAUUAUUCUGAAAUAAAAUUUUCAUUACGUUCGAAAAUGUAUUCUACAAUUUCAGUGUGAAAAUUCACGAUGCAACAGACAAACUAGCCGCACUAAACUAUCAAUAUAGCAUUCUGCAUCACAUUCGCAUAUUCUCCACUAGUAGCAUUCUUGACCAUUUGAUAUUUUGCGUGUGGGGCCCACACGCAAAUUCAAUCUUUUUCUUUUCUUUUUUUUUAAUUCAACUAUUUAUUAUUUUUGCUGAAAUGAAAUAGAACGCACUAUGGAUGGGGUAAUGAUUAAUAUGCGUACUAGUGGUUAUUUAAAUAAAAGAAGAGUCAAUAUGCAUUCAGAUAUUAAUACGCAUAUUGAACAUAUAGCAUUUAGAAAUAUGCGUACUAAUGGUUAUUAUCAGGGUUUUUUUUUUUGCAUUUAGAGAAACAUAUAGCCCAUUUGAAAUAUGCGUACUAUAAUAAUAAUGGUUAUUAUUAUCAGGGUUUUUUUUUUUUUUUUAACAAAGAUAUGCCCAUUUGAAAUAUGCGUACUAAUGGUUAUUAUCAGGGUUUUUUUUUUUUGCAUUUAAAGAAACAUAGCCCAUUUGAAAUAUGCGUAGUAAUUGGUUAUUAUCAGGGUUUUUUUAUUUUUAUUUUUAUUUUUUUUAUUUUUUAUUUUUUUUAACAAAGGUUACUUCAUCAUUCAUUCACAAAAUAACAUAAGUACUUACCCCAAAAAAAACCCUAUUUUUUUUCUUAAGAAUGGUAACAUUUUACUUCUUCAUUCAUUCACAAAAAUAACACAAGUACUUUUCCAAAAAAAAAAAAACAUAAUGCGGCAGCAAUGCAAUUUAUAAAAAUUGCCAUCACACAAUAUACAACAUUGAAAAACUCCAACUACUUACAUUCAAUCUCUCCCCCAAACUCUGGGCCUAUCUUUAUAUCACAGUUAACACAUCUAGACUGCAUCUUUAGCCAAAGCAUCUGCUGCUGCUGAGUUUUUCUCUCUAUAUACAUGCCAUAUGAAUAUGAGGACAAUGAACCAUAACCUCCUAACUAGCCCUCCAAUACCACAAUAUCUCUAUAAAAUUGUCACAUUUCUUUCAUUCACCAAUGAGUUUUUCUCUCUAUAUACAUGCAUAUGAACCUAACAUAUCAGGCCAAUGAACCUUAACCUCCUCCCAAAGCAUCAAAGGAACCUUCAUUUUCUUCUUAUUCCAACGAAUCACUUUAAUCCCUUGCUCCAUUAGUUAUACACAAAGGCCCACAAUAUCUCUUUAAAAUUGUCCCAAUAUGACCCCUAACUAGCCCUCCAAUACCACAAUAUCUCUAUAAAAUUGUCACAUUUCUUUCGUUUACCAAUGAGUUUUUCUCUCUAUAUACAUGCAUAUGAACCUAACAUAUCAGGACAAUGAACCAUAACCUCCUCCCAAAGCAUCAAAGGAACCUUCAUUUUCUUCUUAUUCCAACGAAUCACAUUAAUCCCUUGCAGCACUGAUCUUUAGCCAAAGCAUCUGCUGCUGCUGAGUUUUUCUCUCUAUAUACAUGCCAUAUGAACCUAACAUAUCAGGCCAAUGAACCAUAACCAAAGCAUCAAAGGAACCUCCAUUUUCUUCUUACACCAACGGAUCACAUUCAUGGAGUCCCCCAAUGAUCAAUUUACCACCAAAUUGCUCGGCCACUUUAAUCCCUUGCUCCAUUUUCUAUAAAAUAAAUACACAAAGGCUCACAAUAUCUCUAUAAAAUUGUCACAUUUCCUUCGUUCACCAAUGAGUUUUUCUCUCUAUAUACAUGCAUAUGAACCUAACAUAUCAGGACAAUGAACCAUAACCUCCUCCCAAAGCAUCAAAGGAACCUCCAUUUUCUUCUUAUUCCAACGAAUCACAUUAAUCCCUUGCAGCACUGAUCUUAUCUCAGCUCUAUAUAAUAAUACACAAAGGCCCUUAAUAUCUUUUUAAAAUUGUCCCAAUAUGAUCCCUAACUAGCCCUCCAAUACCACAAUAUCUCUAUAAAAUUGUCACAUUUCCUUCGUACACCAAUGAGUUUUCUCUCUAUAUACAUGCAUAUGAACCGUUAACCAUAAGCUCCUCCCAACGUAUCAAAGGAACCUCCAUUUUCUUCUUACACCAAUGAUCAAUUAUCACCAAUCUGCUACUCUAAUCCCUUGCAACACUGAUAUCAUUUCAGCCUCAUCCCUUGCAACACUGAUACGCACAGGCCCACGAUAUUUUUUUUUAUGAUCCUUACUGCGCACCUCUAAUACCACCUCUGCCAGGAGAUUCCAUAAAAAUUUAUCUGGGGGUUCCCAUACGCCCAUCUCCAAUACCACCUCUGCCAGGAUUUCCCAUGGAGAUUCCAUAAAAAUUUAUCUGGGGGGUUCCCAUACGCUUUCUUGAUUAAUCAUGUCAUCCUUAUCAAGGGAUGCAACUGAUACAUUUGAUCAAUCAUUGCCCACGCAGGCUCUUUAGUGAUCUUCCAAAGUGAACUUCCUCAAUGCGAAAAUAUUUGUAACAUGUACUGCAGCACCCACUUCCAUAUAUUAUCCAAUUCCAUAUUUUUCCUUGUAUACCCACAAUGCAAAAACAGAAAGAUGGUCACGUUUCUCUUCAACCUUUUACACAUGUAUUUGUUAAAAAACUUUUCCUCCUUUUUCUAAGCACAUUAAUGGUCAUGCUACUAAGCAAUCAAAUAAAACAUGGGUACAAAGGAUGCCAUUGCUGCAUCCCACCCUCAUGUCCGGUUUUCUGGGCAUCCAAGAAGAGCAUAAUUCAUUAUUNNNNNNNNNNNNNNNNNNNNACUUACAAUGAAAUCACCCCAAUUUGUCAAGAAGAGCAUAAUUCAUUAUGGGAGAGGUCAUGAAGUUGCAUGAUGCUAUCAUGUUUGAGGGAGAUAGUGGAAAAUUGAAGAUUUUUCAUGGUGGGAGACUGGGAGGAAGAUGGCACAGGAUUGAGAGGGAGAAUAAGGGGCAAGAGAGAGGACCCGUGCAAAAUAAGGGGUCAUCAAGCAAACUGCCUGACAGAGAACCCAUCGUGAGAGAGAAUAGAAAUUACUAUAGAAAUUACUAGGUUAGAGAAAGUGGAUGAGAGAGAGAUAGCUUUUAGAGAGAGAGAAUUUGUCAAGAGAGGGAUGUACUUACAAUGAAAUCACCCCAAGUCAAUAGAAGUUAAGUACACGAAUCAUAAAAACUCUAGGUUGUGCUUUUCAAAACUCAAAAGCACGACUAUGUAAAAUCAUUACAUAUACUUCACAAACGUUAUAUGCAAAUGGAUUUCAGAUAUUAUACCUUUUUUUUUAUUUUGUUGACAUGAAUUCAGAUAUUACCUUAUUGAGAAUAUAGAACGCACUAUGGAUGGGGGUAAUGAUUAAAAAAAUUCUCUACAAAGUAAUAGCCCAUUUUGUUCAAUAUGUACUAAUGGUUAUUUAAAAUAAAAGAAGAGUCAAACAUACUUUGUUCAAUAUGUACUAAUGGUUAUUUAAAAUAAAAGAAGAGUCGAACAUACUUUGUUAGCAUACAAGAUACUUUGUCAAAGUAACCUUAUAUAUAAUAUCAGGGUUUUUUUUUGUUUAAACAAAGGUAGCAUUACUUCUUCAUUCAUUCACAAAAUAACAUCUUUAUUUCUUCAUUCAUUUAUUCAUUCAAAAAAUAACACAAGUACUUUUCCCCAAAAAAAAUGAAAAUAACAUAAGUACAUCAACAAAAUGCAGCAGCAAUGCAAUUUAUAAAAAUUGCCAUCACACAAUAUACAACAUUAUAGAAAAACUCCAACUAUUUACAUUCAAUCCUUCCCCCUAACUCUGGGCCCAUCUUUAUAUCACUGUUAACACUUGCAUCUAGACUGCAUCUUUAAGCCAAAGCAUCUGCUGCUGAGUUUUUCUCUCUAUAUACAUUCAAUCUUUCCCCCUAACUCUGGGCCCAUCUUUAAUAUCACAGUUAACACUUGCAUCUAGACUGCAUCUUUAAGCCAAAGCAUCUUCUGCUGAGUUUCUCUCUCUAUAUACAUUCAAUCUUUCCCCCUAACUCGCCCAUCUUUAAUAUCGCAGUUAACACUUGUAUCUAUACUGCAAAACAUCUGCUGCUGAGUUUUUCUCUCUAUAUACAUUCAAUCUUUCCCCCCAACACUUGCAUCUAGAGUACAUCUUUAUCCAAAGCAUCUGCUGCUGAGUUUUUCUCUCUAUAUACAUUCAAUUUACUUCCUAACUCUAGGCCCAUCUUUAAUAUCACAGUUAACACUUGCAUCUGCUGCUGAGUUUUUCUCUCUAUAUACAUUCAAUCUUUACCCCUAACUCUGGGCCCAUCUUUAAUAUCGCAGUUAACACUUGCAUCUAGACCGCAUCUUGAGCCAAAACAUUUGCUGCUGAAUUUUUCUCUCUAUAUAUACAUUCAAUCUUUCCCACUAACUCAUGGGCCCAUCUUUAAUAUCAUAGUUAACACUUGCAUCUAGACUGCAUCUUUAUCCAAAGCAUCUGCUGCUGAGUUUUUCUCUCUAUAUAUACAUUCAAUCUUUCCCCCUAACACUUCCAUCUAGACUUUAUCUUUAUCCAAGGCAUCUGCUGCUGAGUUUUUCUCUCUAUAUGCAAAUGAACCAAUUAUCAGGAAAUGAACCAUAACCUCCUCCCAGAGCGUCAAAGGCACCUCCAUUUUCUUCUUACACCAAUGAAUCACAUUCAUGGGGUGUCAUCCUCAAUGAUCCACCAAAUUGCUCAGCCACCUUAAUCCCUUGCAGUGAAUCACAUUCAUGAGGUGUCAUCCUCAAUGAUCCACCAAAUUGCUCAGCCACCUUAAUCCCUUGCAGCACUGACCUUUAUCUCAGCUCCAUUUGUUUUAUUAAUAAUACAUAAAGCCCACAAUAUCUCUUUAAAAUUGUCCCAAUAUGAUCCCUAACCAGCCCUCCAAUAUGCCACAAUUAUCUCUAUAAAAUUGUCACAUUUCCUUCGUACACCAAUGAGUCACGUUCAUGGAAUCACCCACAAUGAUCCAUUAUCACCAAUCUGCUACUCUAAUCCCUUGCAGCACUGAUCUUAUCUCAGCUCCAUUUGCUAUGUUAAUAAUACACAAAGCCCACAAUAUCUCUUUAAAAUUGUCCCAAUAUAAUCCCUAACCAGCCCUCCAAUAUACCACAAUUAUCUCUAUAAAAUUGUCACAUUUCCUUCGUACACCAAUGAGUCACGUUCAUGGAAUCACCCACAAUGAUCCAUUAUCACCAAUCUGCUACUCUAAUCCCUUGGAACACUCAUAUCAUUUCAGCCUCAUUUUCUGUUAACACCCAACAGGCCCACAAUAUCUUGUUUUAUGAUCCUUAACUGCACCUCCAAUACCACCUCCUCUGCCAGGAUUUCCCAUCGAGAUUCCAUAAAAAUUUAUCAAGGGGUUCCCAGACGCUUGCUUGAUGGGUACUACAUGUCCUCCUUAUCAAGUGAUGCAACUGAUACAUUCGAUCAAUCAUUGCCAUCGCCAAAAAUUAUUUUCUACUAGAUGCCCCACGCAACCCCUUUAGUGAUCUUCCAAAGUGAACUUUCUCCAACCUAACAUUUGACAACUCCCACAAUGUGAAAAUAUCACACACAUGCUCUGUAACAUGUACUGCACCCACUUCCACAAUGCAAAAACAGAUGGUCAACCUUUACACAGAAUACAUGUAUUUGCUAAAAACUUUUCCCCCUUUUUCUAAGCACAUCAAUGGUCAACCGCUUGUUCAUGCUAAGCAACCAAAAUACAAUAUUUUACUUUCAUUGGUGUUGGGCAACUUCCAAAUUCUGACCCACCUCGUCUCUUGCCAUCGUCUUCUAUCAUUAAAGAGCAAGUCAUAUGUAACAAUAAAAGCCCCUUGAGAAUUUGGUUCCAAAUGAUAUCUUUUCCUUAGAUAAUAGAACCUUUCACCACCUCUUCACCAAUCCAAGUAAUAUUCCAGAUGGCAUUAUACCCAUAUGCAUUGACCAUUUCUUUCAUAUUUGAAUUUAUGAAGUCACUUUUGCAAACGAAGUUGGGAACUGUACCUUUAGAGAUCUGUCCCCACCCAAUUCUGUUGCUAGAAUCUGGUUUGUUCCAUCUCCCGCCGAUACUCUCAUAUUCCUUAAAAUACCUCAUUUUGUGCAACAACCCCCAUCUAAAUCUGAGUAAAGCCUUUCUUGUUUAAGCUCUCAUAUGCCAUCGGUAUUUCCCACAUUUCUCUAACAAUAUCCUUUUCCAUAACUGAUCACCUUUCAUUCAGCACCAUUUGUUAAGUAAAGCACUAGUCAAGCUUUUCACAUCCAUUCCACCUCUAGCUUCAUAGGUACAAACCUUAUCCCAAGCUACCAAACAGAAAUUCUGUUUUAUCUUCAUUUUCUCCCCACAAAAACCUCUCUUGGACACAAAAGUAAACUAGAGUUUGACAAAGUUAACCUAAUUAAAGUCAAUCUCCCUAUCUAGGAUAAAAAUCUCCCUAUAAAGUCAAUUUCCAUAAGUCAAGCUUAAACUGCACAUUUUGGAUCACAGGGUCCCAUAUAGAUCUAGAAGCCAUUGAACCUAUAACAGGAACCUUCCCUACACCACAUCUAAGAACUGCAGGAAACCCUAUAAUAAGGUUGGUCUUGUUCCAAUUCACUCUAAGACUAGUAACCACCUCAAAACAACACAAGAAACUCCUCAAAGUUAUUAUUUCACACUAUUUGUGCACUACGAAAAGUUAGUGUGUCAUCUGCAUACCAAAAAUGUAAUAUCUGACUUCCUCUAUCACUCACUUUAAAUCUCUUCAACAGUCCAGCCUCCACAAAGUCUGCAUCACACUGCAUCUAAUUAAAGUCGACCUAAUUAAAGUCAAUCUCCCUACCAAGGAUUAAAAAUUUAGCUUUCCAACAGUUAAGCUUAAACUGCACAUCUAAUUAAGGUUGACCUAAUUAAAGUUAAUCUCCCUCACAAGGAUUAAACAAACUUAACUUUCCAUAAGUCAAGCUUACACUGCACACUUUGGAUCACAGGGUCUCCUAUAAGGUUGGUUUUGUUCCAAUUCACUCUAAGACCAGUAACCGCCUCAAAACAACACAAGAAUCUCCUCAAAGUUAUUAUUUCACACUCUUGUGCACUACGAAAAGUUAGUGUCAUCUCUGCAAACCAAAAAUGUGAUAUAUGCAUUCCUCUAUCACUCACUUUAAAUCUCUUCAACAGUCCAAACCUCCACUAAGUCUAUAAGUCUCACACUACAUCCAAUUAAAGUUGACGUAAUUAAAGUCACUGCACUACGAAAAGUUAGUGUGUCAUCUGCAUACCAAAAAUGUAAUAUCUGUUUUCCUCUAUCACUCACUUUAAAUCUCUUCAACAGUCCAAACCUCCAGUAAGUCUCUAAGCAUCACACUACAUCCAAUUAAAAUUGACCUAGUUAAAGUCGAUCUCCCUCCCAAGGAUUACAAAUUUAGUUUUCCAUAAGUCAAGAUUAAACUGCACAUCUAAUUAAAGUCGACCUAAUUAAAGUCAAUCUCCCUCCCAAGGAUUAAAAAUUUAGCUUUUCAUAAGUCAAUCUUAAAAUUGCACACUUUGGAUCACAGGAUUCCAUACAGAUCUAGAAGCCCUUGACUUCAAUCUCCCCCUCCCAAGGAUUACAAAUUUAGUUUUCCAUAAGUCAAGCUUAAACUGCACAUCUAAUUAAAGUCGACCUAAUUGAAGUCCAUCUCCCUCCCAAGGAUUAAAAAUUUAGCUUUUCAUAAGUCUAUCUUAAAAUUGCACACUUUGGAUCAAAGGAUUCCAUACAGAUCUAGAAGCCCUUGACCCUAUUAACAGGAAACAUCCAUACACCACAUCUGCAGCAAUUUUUCCCGCUCUUCAUCAUUUCAACACACCCCUAUAAGGUUAGUCUUGUUUCAAUUCACUCUAAGACAACACAAGAAUCUCCUCAAAGUUAUUAUUUCACACUCUUGUGCACUACAAAAAGUUAGUGUGUCAUCUGCAUACCAAAACUGUAAUAUCUGGCUUCCUCUAUCACUCACUUUAAAUCCCUUCAAUAGUCCAACCUCCACUAAGUUUCUAAGCAUCACACUACAUGUCUCAACCAUUAAGGUAAACAAAAAGGCGACAGUGGAUCACCUUGUCUUACACGCUUGUUGCUUUGAAAAAGCCCUUGGGUUGCCCGUUUAUCAAAAUUGAUAAAACAGACAGAACUCAAACACUCCUCAAUCCAACUUAUCCAUUUAACCACAAAACCCAUUUGCAUCCAUCACUUUCAUAAGAACAUCCCAGUCCACCUUGACAUGGGCCUUUUCCAAAUUGAUUUUACAUAUUAAGCUGGUGCCCCUAGCUUUACUUGAGCUAAUACACUCAUGAGCACACAAAAUAUAAUCCGUAAUUUGUCUCCCUUUUAAAAUGUAGACUUUGGCCCAUUCCAGGGCUUAUGUUUCUCUACAUAAAAUUAGUAGUUAAUUCAAAUCGUAUCUCAAGCAAUACUGGAGCAAUUCAAGUCAUGCAUUUUCACGGGGAUUGACCCAAUGCAAGACUGCCCCUCCCAUUUCACCUUCCGUUCUCCUUGUACUUUGUGCCUUCCUUUCCUUUGUCUGCACCUCCAGAAGCAACUUGAUCCAUUUCCUUGAAUUUAUUCUCAAAAAAAUAAAACUAAAAGAAAAUGAAUAAUAAUUUCUAGCUUUAAUAAUAUUUAGGAAUGUGAUGCGGCCAUGAAAGAAUCACCCUAAUUUGCAUCAGAAUGAUACCCCAACUUUUGCCUAUAUAAAAGAGAUUCAGCCAUGAAAGAAUCAACCCUAAUUUGCAUCAGAAUGAUACCCCAACUUUUGCCUAUAAAGUGGCAGUUUCAUCGUAACAGUCAGCUAAAUAAAUCGAAUUUGUCACCCAAAAGGAUAUUCCCAUGAGAUGUUCUUGAGUUCCUAACAUGAUGGUAGAAACUAAAAGAAAAGGAUAAUAAUUCCUAGCUUAAUAAUACUUAGGAAUGUAGCCAUAAAAGAAUCAACCCUAAUUUUCAUCAGAAUGAUACCCCUACUUUUCCCUGUAUAAAAGUGAUGCAGCCAUGAAAGAAUCAACCCUAAUUUGCAUCAUCAGAAUGAUACCCCAACUUUUGCCUAUAUAAAAGUGGCAGUUUAAUUGCAACAUUCAGCUAAAGAAAUCAAAUUUGUCUCCCAAAAGGAUAUUCCCAUGAGAUGUUUCAUGAGUUCCUAACAUGAUUGCAGAAACCAUCAACAAUAAUAAGUUCAAAUGCAACACUGAUAAAGAAAUAAGACACUCUUAGGUAACUUACCUUGGUUUUCAAGGCUUGCAGAACACGGUUCGCCGGCGUUACAGAGAGAGAGAGAGAGAGGUUAGCUGAGAGAAAGCAUACAAGAAUGAAAGAAAGACUCGAAAGGGAAUUUUAUAAGGCCCGAUCUAUCGAUUAUGAUCCAACGGUCAUAUCGUCCAAUGGUCAUAUCCUCUAACAGUCAUAAUCCAACGGUCAUAUCCUUCUAACGGUCAUAAUCCAACGGUCAUAUCUUUCCAACGGUCAUUUUCGAGGUGAGCAUUGCUGCUAGUUAUCCAAAAGAUUUCAUGCUCCUAAGGGAGCAUUUUGUUCAUUACUUUCUUGGGCAAAACUUAAGUAGAUAAUGAAAGUGGGCAGACCCAACAUGAGAAGCUCUCUUUUCCUGCCUUCCUUUUUUGUCUCUCCAAAUAAUGAGGAAAGAAGCCCUUAUAUAUGGGAGCUUACAAGACUUAGUAAAUAUAAAUAAAUGAAACUCAAGUUUUAUACACGCACAUGCAACAAAAAUAACAAAAUAAAGAGUGGUUAAAGAGCAAUUUUCACCUUUAUAAGAAAAAAAGGGGCAAAUUGGUCAUUUGCCUCUAUAAAGCCAAUGUCAAAGACAAUAACCUAGAAGGUCCUGUAUCUUAAUACAAACCUCAUAUAGGGCUCUUUUCUUAAAGAUCCCUUGAUAUAGGACUAGUAAAUUAACAUGUGUUACACAUAUAAAUCUAAUAAGAUAGAAGAAUGAUAAAAACACUUUAGAGAAAAAUAAAUUAAUAAUGCAUUUUAACAUAAAAUAUGGGCAGAUGAAAAACAAAAAAUGAAUUAAAAAAUAAAGAAAAUAAAGUACCUUGCAAAGCUAAUAUCAUUUACUUUUGGGGUGUGCCACCCUAGGUGGUACUUCAUGGGCCCCACUUGCAUGCAAUAGUGUGCCCAUUAACAUAUUAGGCCUCCCAUGCAAUAUUACAAUGAUUAAAAUUAAUUAAAUGAUUUUUAAAAAUCCAUAAAAUCAAAUUGGAAUAUUUAAAUCAAUCUAAAAUCAAUAUCUAUGGUUUUAUAAAUCCAAAUUUGAUAAAUAAAAUAUCCAGAGAACUAGAAAAAUUCAAAUAGUAAUUCUAAAAAUCAUAUAUCAUUAAAAAAUAUAUAAUUAAAUUCAUUAGAUGAAAAAAUGAUUCAUAUGUUAUACGAAUUAAAUAAAUAAAUGUUGAGGCACUCCACCUUCAACUGUAGACUGCGAUCUACACUUGCUUUAUCAAACCAACCCAGUAUUUUACAUGACCCAUAGUCUUUGCAGGGGUUCAUUAGUGGGUCACUAAAGUCAGGCCAAUAAGCCAAGGGGGUCGUAAUCCAGAUUUGUGGAUUUCAAGUUCUCCCCUAGAGACAUACCAAUGUCACAUAUAUCUGAUGUGACUACAGCGCCUACGACGCAUAGGAAUAUCUCUCAUACAUACAUAAGCUUUAUCCUGAAGGUGGUUUGCUAUCCCGAAAUGAUUAUCAUAUGUGCAUGCCGUGUGAUAGUUCGCGAAUGAGACUUUGGCCCCCGUUUUUUAAGGCCACCAUCACACACAAGGGUCAUACAGUCCCUUAGCUCACUCAUCCGGGCAUACUCCGACCUCAUCAAUGGAUGACUUAUUAUAACCUUUAUCAGAUAGUUUUAUAUACCCAGAUAAUAUAGGUUUUUCUCAACCGAUUGGCCUAGCUCGUCAAGCUCAGUCUGGUAUCUGCAAACAUCGUUUUCUUAGUAUGAUCCAAGAGGGACCACACUCGCAUUGAGUCCAUGUUCUACUAUAUCAUUUCAUUUUACAAGCACUCAUAAGGACUUUUAUGACCACACUCACCUAACAUCUCCCACUUGGCCUUUGAGGCCUUACAUUCUCUCUUCUUCACUUUCUCUCAUCUCCAUCUUUCUCUCCCAAUUAUAAUCUCUUUCUCAAGUAUUUUUCACUUAUUCUCUCUCAAUAUAUUAAUUAUGGCUUUUGCCUUCAAUGCUUUCACAAUAGAACUUUUUGAGGCAAUACCUUUUUUCUCUUUACUACUCGGAUCUCAUCCCAAAAGUGGUCAUAGUUCAUAUUUCAUAUUGCAUCGCGAAUCAUAAACCUAUUGUCACAGAAGAUUAUUAUGUACCUUCAUCGUAUGGGGGUCGUAUGUUUAUGGGCUCAAAGGAGUUCUUCAAACAAGCGGCUCCCUUCUAUAGCCAUACAACCAGUGCCACACGUCUGGGUACUAUGGGUAAACAACAUUAUAGUCUGUUGUUCCCAUUGACCUGUCAAAUAUUAGGGGGUGCUCCUACUGGAAUAUUUAGUUUAUCUGAAUCUUUAUUAAUCUCACCUCAUUCCUUAGAUGAUGGAAACACGAUUUUAUAUGUUUGGAGUCCUAUGGAAUCGUGGCUCAUUUGACACAUAUAUCGCCGUCAUGUUGUCAAAGAAAAUCCUUACUGCCUCAUAACGUACAGGGUGAAAAUCAAGUCGAUUAAGAAAUUUCUUAAUCCAUACGGCCUCCUUGGCUGCCAAACAACAUGCCACGUACUCUGCCUCUAUGGUGGACAAUUCCACCAUUUCAUGUUUCUUUGAUUUCUAAGAAACUGUACCCCCUACAAGCAUGAACACAUAUCCAUGAAAUAGAUAUGGAUACAUGAAAUAGCUUCGCAUUAUCUGGAUACAUGAAAUAGCUUGCAUAUGUACAUCUAAAUAUCCAAGCAGCUAAAAGAAAUGUGGGACUGUAGCAGCUCCACUCAAUUAUUGCACAUAUAACAUAUAUUCUCAACAUUCUUAUGCCUAUAUCAUAAGGUAGCAUAUUAAGUCUCAUGCAAUAUGUAAUUCAAUGCCCGUUGGUUUCACAAUAUGGAAAAAAACAGGUUUUGGUGUGAAAAUGAAAUCGUGGAAAAGUCAGGUUAUUUUCCAAGAGUUAAUUUCCAUGAAAAUUUAGUAUUCUAGUCCUUGAGCAAACAAAAAUCCCAAAAUCCAUGUGUAAGCGGAUGAUUGACCCAACGCUUCAUCAAUUAAAAUCAAAUAAGAGCUCGCUCGACAGAUCAAUAAAAGAUCGAAGUGCUUUCAAUUAAUACAUAUAGUACAAUAGGGAUAACUUAAGACCGACCCAAUCUCGAAGUAUUGAUGAAUAUCAUCCAGUUCCUAUAGAACCUAUCUGUCAAAUAGCCCUAUAAGAGGAUUCGGCAUGAUGAACCAUAACUCGUUCUCUCAUCGGGGAUAUCUACCCAAAACAAAUUGAAUAUCGAAAGAAAUUGAAAGAUCGAGGAACUCUCCAAAACUUGUUCAAACUUUUGGAAAGUUUUUGUUUUGUGAUUCUAUCUCAAUUGUGCCUGCUAUGUUUGUGAUAUUUUCCUCAAGAAUCCUCUUCUGACAUCAUUCCAUGCCUUCUUUGAGCAAGAAUGUCCCCUUUUUCCUCGACUUUUUAAAUUUCAGUUGUAGAAAUAACAACGGUUUCCCACCUUUGCCAUUCUCUUGAUUCUGAGAUCUUCAGCCAUCAAGAAUUUAGUGAAUCACCACUACAAGCUUCCCUAUAGCUCAUUGAAGCUUGAACUUAUCAUUCACUUCUUGGAACACAUCAUAAUUGAAAGCAUGCAAAUCCUCAAUUCAUCAUCCUAAUGCUUCUCCAUGCCUUGGGAAUAACUACAUAUGGUAUCUCACUAGAUUACCAAACUAUUUCCUCAUCAAAGGCUCCCCCUCGUCAGGAUCACCGCGUGACUUUUUGCUCACGCGAACUUGAUUUUAACAGUAAAAUAUGAUCCAAAUACCAUGAAUUUCACUUUGGUCACUUAACCACUCAGUACAAACUCGUAAUACAAGUUUAAUUGCUUUUGGACCACAUUUGGACCCAAAUUGCAAGUUCACCUAGGGAGGCAACAUGCCAAUGUACCGCUCAUGGUGAACUUGGCUCCAUCACUGUAUGCAUGUCCAAAUUUCACAAUAUUAUGGGAUGUUACCAUAUCAUUUAGAAGAUCUCUCUAUAGGCACCUCUAACUCCCCUAAGAUCAAGGAAAACAUCGUAAAAUGGUAAUUCAAACAUCUUUACCAAAGAUUAGACCAUUUGGACACCUUUUGUCCAACAUGUCAUGUCCACUGCAAGGCACUAUCCCUGGCACCUCAGCUUAACCCUUAAUUUUACACAUCAAAUGACUUGAUUUUUAACACAGCCAUAUUUGAUCCUAUGAACAACAUUGCCAAGAUUUUGGCCCAUUUGGAAACAAUCAUCGCAUAUUUCUGGGCUAGGGACUAUAUGGCCAUUUCACAAUUUUUGUUCAGUGUGUCAGGAAACACCCCUGAACAUGUAGUAUGUGCUCUUGGUCUACUGUAUGUCUUGCACUUGUUUUAUGGUUGUAUUCGCAUCGUAUCUAGCCGAUUAUGUAUAUGAUCUUGGAUGGUAUCCUAGUAUUUGGGAUUUCUAGUUCUACAAUUAAUGUGCUCAUAAAUCACAUAUAAUCGAGGUUAUACAAGAAUAGAUGUUCAUUUCCACUUUAAUGAAAAAGAAACAGUGUUUAGUUUUCUCCAAAUGUUCGUGGGUCUUGAUUUAAAGGAAUAAUUCUCACACUCCAUAAGCUUUUCACAUAUAUGAUACUUUUUUUUUUGAUAAACUUCACAUUUAUGAUACUUCAUCAUGAAGAGUCUGAGCCAACAUUCUUGAUUACUGCUCACUAUGCAGUUCAGGCUAGUACAGUCAUGUUAGCAAAGGCACUUGUACUUAGACAUAAGUAGUAUCCUGAAGUUUAUAAUCAUGUUAACAACGUGUUUGAAAUGUUAUCUAAGUUUGUGCCUGUGGACAUAGAUGAUAUAGAAGUCUGGAAGGAACAUUUACAACAUCAAGUUAAUGAUGAAGUUGCAUAUGACGAGCCCAGAAGUGGUGUAGUGGGUGAAAGUAGUCAUGCUGCAGAAGACCUGGCUCCAUCCACACAACUUGCGGUUGAGAAGCCCAGAAGGCAUAAUACGCGAAAGAAGUAGUAUCAGCCCAAGAAAAGACGAGUAAUGUAAUGGUCUUUCUGGCAAUGUAAUGGUCUUUUUGGCCAUUGUAAUGUUAUCAUAUUGUAACGAACUCUCCAGCAAUGUAAUGGUUUUUUUGGCAAUAUUUGAGUGUUUUGAGUUUGUGUACAUGCAAUUUAUUAUUUUUAUUUAUUUAAUUAGCCCUCUGUUAGAAAGGUUAUUGUAAUGGCUUAGAUGAUAAUGAUGAUGAUGGACAGACAUAAAAUUGGAUUUGUAUAAAUCAAUUUAUAAAUUUUGAGGCCAAUAUUCAAUUUAUAAAUGAAUGUGUUGUGAAUAACACUACUCAUGAAUUGAACUCAUUAUAUUAAGGAAAAAGUUUAUAUAAGGAUGUAACCUUAUAAUGUAGAAGUACGGAUGCACCUCAAAAAUCCAUCGGAGAAAGUAGUUUUAAUGUUGAAAAACCCUUUGAUUGAUCUUCUCGACAUUGAUUUUUGGUUUUUGAACAACCGAAAUUCCAACCUUUUCGGUGUUCAAAAACCGAAAAAGGGUAAAAAUGAUUUUUUUUAUAAAAAAAUCGUUAUGAAAUGAAAAAAACGGAUAUUUAAGUAAUAACGGAAGCAUUUGAUAUUUUGGUAAUAACAUAAACUAUAACGGAUAUAUAUGUAAUUUUCCUGAUUUUAUUGGGAUUGUAUGUUAUAAUACUAUUAUAUUUUUAGAAUUAAGAGGUCAUAAUUAAUCCUAGCUAUCAAAUGUCAAAUCGGUCAACUUAAAGUAUGUAAUGGAAUUCGAAAAAAAAGAUUUUGAACUUUGAACUUGAUCAAUCAUACACUCCCAACCUUUUGAUAUCAAAUCUAACAAUCAUAAGUCAUGUGACUUAAUUGUAUAAAAUUUACUAUAUAUUUUCCAAUUUUAUUUUGUCUUGUCAUUCAUGUUAGCAACAUGACAGAGAAGAUUCGGAUCCGAUCCGGAUUUUUUUUGGAUUGCGCCUCAAUUCUUUGUGAUCCUCAUUCUUUCUACAUCAAUGUAGGCGAUCCCCUUGAGUUAAUGUCAAUACAAAAACUUUCAAGUUUUUUAGUUGAAAGCCAUGUGAUUUUCCCUUGAUUUCCACUUCGUCCCGGCUAGAGUUUUGUGGUCCCCCUUUUUAUAUAAAAUUCCACUAAAUUCAGUUUUGGAGUUGGGGAGAGGGUAAGAGUGUAGAUGGUGGAAGUAAAGGGCUGUGUAUGGAUAUUAAAGAUGUCGUCUUUUCUAAUUGGUUUUUUUUUUUUUUUUCAUUUUGCUAGAGAGAGAAAGAGAGUUCAUUUAUAUUUGGUUUUUUUUUUUUUUUUUGCUAGAGAGAGAAAGAGAGUUCAAACAUGUAAUAAUUUUUAUCACUGAGUUUUUCUUAUUUUGCAAGAAGGGGUUUUGUGUCAAAUUCAAACACGUUUCAUUGCUUCUAAGCGCGUUGUAUCAAAUUCAAACACUUUUUUGGUUUCCCUCAUUGACUUUUGUCAUUUAUCAUUUUUUUCGUAUUUUAGGCUCCUAGGCGAUAAUAUCUCAAGUUUGGAUAAAUUUUGAUUUUUUUGAGGUCUUCUUGUUGGGUUUGGAUAUUUUUACCUCAAAUUUGGAUAAAUUUUGAUUUUUUGAGGUCUUUAUGGGUUUGGAUAUUUUUGGGGAGAUUGGAUUCCCGACACUAGUCAAAAUUUAGUGAUAGCCAACUGUUUGUUUGUCCAUUCAGGGGCCACAAUAAAAUUCAAAUGGAAUAAAAAUGGAAUUCAAAUGGAAUAAAUUAGGGUUCGGAUUUGGAUCUGGAUUUUUAUAAAAUUUUGGAUUCCGAUCCAAAUCCAAAUAGUCAAGAUUGGAUGUAUACUAUUCGGAUCCAGAUUUAGAUCUGGGUGGAUACGAACCCGAUCCGGAAAAUUCUCUACUCUACAAUACUUUAUGGUUUAAAAUUUUUGGUGGCUAAGAAUCUAGGUCAUUACUAUAUCAUUAAAGGGGAUUCUCCACUAAACGUCAUCAAUUGGUGUAACAUGAAGCAUAAGUCUUCUUGCGAGUUGAGAUCGGUGUUGGUACAAAUUUGAGACAUUGCUAGUUUCUUUGUGCAUGUUUAUGGGUUGACAGAUUUCUUGCAAAAGGGAGUACCUUUUUAUCUGAGACUUUGGUCUUUGACUCUGUAAUAUCUUUUUAGAUUUUUAAUAUAAUAUCUAAUUUCUGUCCAAAAAAAAAAAAAAACAACUAUAAAGUUUUUUUGAAACUCAAAGAACGCUAUUUUUAGGAAUUUAUAGUGAUUUUUUUUUUAAAAAUUUUGAAGCCAAAUCCGGCCUAUUCUCUGAUCCAAAUUGUCGAUCCACCAAUCCAACAUAGUUUUUGAAAUGGCCGAUCCGGAUCACCAAUCUAUUUUUUUUUAAACCUUCCUUAAAAUAGAUCUUGACAUGUGAGGCGAUUAGAUAUCAGCACAUCAAAAAUACACAUUUUUGAGGUAUUGUACUACCCUAUAGAUCAUAAAAAAUAAAAAAAAUUUAAAAGAAGAGAAAAUAUCUUCAUAUUCCCUUUCAUUUCACAAUAGAUCCAAGGUUUUAAAAGAUAUCUUGGAGCAUAAGUAUAUUUUAAAUAGGGUGUCAUUUUUGUUUGGGUCAAAAAUUUAUGGUCAAAAGGGUCUACGGGGUUGUAAGAUAGAAAAGAUGGAGACCUUUUGCUUAUAAGUAAUAUUUUCAAUUAUUGGGUCUCAUGAGAUAUGAAAGUUAAAAAUGGGGGAUAAGGAGAUAUUUUCCCUUUUUUUUAUAAAAGCCAUCCUCCCAAAAUUCUAGAGGGAGAGAAGGGCUGCGGGAGAGGACCAAGAGGAGAGAGAUGUGUUUGGAAGAACACGAGAGGAGAGAAGUGAGACAUGCAUGAAGAGAGAUAAAGAGAUAAAUUUGGGGUAGAUAAGUGAAGAGAGAGAAAAGAUUGGGUUUAGAAAGAGUAUGUCUUACUCACAUUUGUUUAGGUUAAAAAAUAGGUUUAAAGUGACUAAGAGAUUUGAAGAUAUCUUUUGACAUCUUGGGUUUAUCAAGAAAUGAAACCUAAAAAUAGGGGAUAUGAAGAUAUUUUCCCAUAUAAACAAAAAGUAAGACGCAUUUUUUAAAUUAAAAGGGAAAAUUAUAAAACCCCCUCCCCCAAGUAUAUUAUCUAUGCAACUUACCCCAGCUAACCUUUCCUCUCACUUUUUUCCCCACAACUACCUUUCCUCGCAAAAACCCUCCAAGAUAAAAAGUUGAUAUUUUUUGGAUGGAAAUGCCCUUCCAGUAUAAAAAAAGUCAAUUGGCAAUCCCAAGUAGCAUAUUGUUGGAGCGACCAAUUCAACCGCCGGAGCGAUGUGGCUCUAGAAGGUGUACUGCUGGAGCGCAUCUUUGUAUUGCCGGAGCGCUUGUCUUCAUUGUCAGAGCGACCUAUUCAACCGCUAAACCGUAUGUCUUCAUUGUCGGAGCGACCCUCUGCAUUGCUAGAGCAUGUAUCUUCAUUGCCAAAGUGACCCUCUCCAUUGCUAGAGCACGUGUCUUCAUUGCCGGAGCGACCCUCUGCAUUGAUGGAGCGCGUGUCUUCAUUGCCGAAGCGACUUAGAGCGUGUGUCUUCAUUGCCGGAGUAAAUCUCCGCAUUGCUGGAGCGCAUGGGUAAAACGCAUGGGGAGAGAGUCAUGGAUAAAAGUCACGAGGAGAGAGAGGGGUAGUUUAGUCUCUUUUUUCUUUUUUUUUUACUUGAGGGGUAUUUGCGAAGAAAGGUGGUUGUGGGGAAAAAAUGAAAAGAAGGUUAGCUCGGGGUAAGUUGUUUGCAAUUUCGGAUUCCGCCUCUUCUAUGGAAUUGACAGGAUUUGGAAGAUGGUACAAACCCUAUUCGAAAAAUUUUGGAGUUGUUCAAACGAUGACACUAAAAACGACUGUUGGACUUGGAACAUGGUACAAUUGCCUUUAGGGAAAUGAUCGGGUGAGUAAUCAAUAUAUCGUGUCACUUUUUAUACUAUUAAAGACCUUUUUUUUCCCUUUUUUCUUUCUAACUCCAAAGCUUUCGUCUCCGGCCUGCAAUCUCUAUCUACAAAGACAUAUUCCCUUGCUUACAGUCUCUCUCAUAAUAAGGGGAAAUUCUGAUUUCGACAUUUAAAAAGCUAAUGUGGCCAUUGAUAAAAUAAAUCAUUUUCCACGGUUUUCUUUGUGAACAUAACUAGCACAUUUUUAAAUUGAGUAUUAAGUUUAAGGGGAAGCUAGAUUUGAUGUAUCUAUCAUCUUGACUCAAUUUACUAUCGUCAUCUUCAAAGCUUUUUUCCAACUAAUUGGGGUGAUUCAAUAUGCCCUCCACUUUAUUUUAGUUAUUUCUUUCUAGCUAUGUUUCCUCCACAACAUAAAACUUAUAUACUUCCUCUUAUCCAAUCGUCCAUUCUAGACGGUUGAGAUGGCCCUAAUCACAAUAUCACAUCUCUACAUUAUUUUAUUUUUAAUUUCUUCUACAAAAUAUUUAUACACCGAAUUUUGGGCAUCCACUUCUCUCUUAAACUCGCACUUGUAUAAAAUAUUAAAAUGAUCAAAAUACGCUUGAAAGUUUGAAAGGGUAUUUUGGUUAUUAUAUUUUAUCAAAAACUUCUAUUUAGUAUUUACGUGAUUCACCCUGUAGGAUUACAUCCAUGGCCUUGACAAGUAGAAAUCCACUAUCACAAUAAAAAUUACAAUGGAUUUCUACACUUUCUUGGAUCGAGCAAAUCUAUGAAAAGCUUAAAAAACAAUGUAGAUUGAGCAAAUCUAUGAAAACUUAAAAAACUUGAAAAUUGACGGUCAAAAAAUGCAUUACAAGUUGCACCAAAAGUUGAAAUCCAUUUUUUUCUCUCAUGCCCAUGUAUCACGAUGACCAAUUUGAGGAUAUUUGGGCAUUAAGUUAGUUUAAUUGAACAUUAGGAAAUAAGUAAGUAUUGUAUUUAAUUAACCAUUGCAUUUUGUUUAAUUCAUAUGAACAACUUUUCCUUUUUCCAUUUUACAUGGGCAAGGCACAAACGCGCAUAUAUAUAUAUAUAUAUAAAAGAAAUAAUGGGAUUAACCCACUAGCUCAUAUGAACAUAUGAGCCCAACGACUCAUAUUAAAUUUGGGCCGAUCUGACGAUCACAGAUGUCCGAUAGUGUUCUCAACAUCUAUAGGCAAAAAUGAAUAGUGAUUUCGCCUACCCUCAUCACUAUCCAAAUUUCAUCGCGUGGUCACGAUUGUUCGAUAGUUUUUAUUUUUCAUUUUUUUUUAACAAAUCGGAAUGACCUAAAAUUUGGAAGGUAUAUACAUCUUAUUGAGGCACAUCUAAUAAAAAUAUAAAAAAAAAUUAUCCGUAAAAAAAGUACCAAAAUACCUCCGAAACUUUUUGGGAGCAUUUUGGUCAAUUUUUUCGUUCUUUUUAUAUUUUUCAAAGAUUCCCCUAUUUUUGAUGAAUAUAGGUUCCAAAUUUCAGGUCAUUCUGAUUUGUAGAAAAAAAAUGAAAAAUGAAACAUUACCAGACAAUCGUAACCGCACGAUAAACUUUGAACGGUGAUGAGGGUAGACAAAAUCACUGAUCAAGUCCCAAAAGAGGUGGAAAAAAGUCAUGAGGAGGCCGUUCCAAGAGAUUUAUCUAUAGGUAAGGACUGCCACAUUGAUCUCCUCUAACAAGAAGGGAGUUUCUAAUUGAUCGCCUAGCUCAUGUCACAACACUGUGAGGGAGAUUCUUCUUAUUUCAAAUGGAAGCCUAGGGUUCGAAGCGAUGGCUUCGACAAAGAAGUUCACUGCAGGCAAGUACAUUGCACAACGUACUAGGUCACUUUUGCCUAUGCCGAAAGCAUGCGUUUCUAAAUAAAAGGCUCAUGAAGAACUUCCUUUAGGCCAGGCUAGAUUGAGGAACAAAUUCCAUCUAGCGAAUUGGGAGAUUAUGCAAAUCAAAAGAAUAAUGAAUCCAAAGGCCUAUAAGAUAUGAACAUGGCUCUACUUCGUGCAUGGUUGUAAACCAUUGUAAAAAAAAUAAGGCAAUCUAACCGUUAAUCAUCUGGUUAGAUUGUAACCGGCCAAGUGCCGAUUCGGAUUUUGGGUGGUUUUGGUGAUCGACCGGUAUUUCAAAAAAAAAUUCAAAAAAAUAUAUAUAAAUUUUCAAAGAAUUUAAUUUAUAAUGUAUUUUUUAAUAUUCUUUAUAUUAUGGUAAAGAUAAAAAUUGCUAUGUGCAUUAAUAACUUUUAUAUUUAACGAUCUUUUCUUUUAAAAAUUUAAAAAUACCGACCCACGUUUUGACCAUGAGAUUCCUACUAAGGAAGCUUCGAUGAUACGUUAAAGAAAGAUAAAUGGCUUCACUAUGAUCCCAUCCAUUCAAUUUUCCCCAAUCUCUAUCAGAUCGCCAUAUACCGGGGGUCCACUAUCUCGGAGCUAUACGGUGGGUUCACUAUCUCGGAGCUACAUUUCCUAAGUAGUGUCCUCAAACUCCAAUGUGGACGACUGACCAACCGUAAAGAAAUGAAGCACCACUCCUUCUAGGCUGAUGCCCUGCCAUGUCAAUUACUUUUCCAUUAAAAUACCACUUUGCAUGUUUUCUUCCCCACUCACCACACACCAAUGCCAACAUAGACCAAAUUUAUGAGAUCCUAAAGCGUCCCUGAUCAGCACUCUCUCUCUCUGUCAAAAAGACAGACUUUGUUUCUUACUGGAGAUGCUUCCCUCUUCUUCCCAUGACUAGCGGCGACCGUCCCUAAAUGAAAUGCCACCUCAAAGUGAGGAUCAACCAACCAUUUUAAGUGUCUAGUUUGGGUUUGAGAGGAGCGGACAUGGUUCCCCUCUAUGAGUAUUCAGUGCAAGCAAUAAAUACAACUAGCCACAAAAUCAUUAUCUCAUGCAUAUGUUGUGGGGCAAUAAGCAAUCAUGUGCAUGAAGAAUAAUCAAAAUGGACCCGUUUGAAUUGACAAUAAAUGAGUAGCCUAGCCUCGAAAGGUUCGAUAAAUAUUUACACUUUACAUGUAGAGCUGACAGUAAAGAACAAUUUCUAAUUACAAAACAUGCUAGGUUUGACGGUGAGCGAAGAAUCAAUCAAUUUGCAUACCUGCGUACGAACCCCUUGAAGGAGAUCUUGUCGUUGAGCAGGCCUUCAACAUUGGCUGAAUAUGUUCCAACAAUUGUGUGAAGUACUAAGCAAAUGUGGGUCCAUCAGAAGAUCUAGCAUUAAAAACAAAGCCUUAAAGUGGUACUUAAUUUUCAGAAAGUCAAGAUUGCAAGGUGAAAACUACAGUCAUGCAUCUGAUGUCAAUGGUAUUAAUGGAGAAUCUGUUCGUUAGUUUCAUAGAACAAAAUACAAGAAAAAGCACACACACCUGAAAUAACACAAGAUUAUGUUGGUAACUUGGCAUUACUUGUCACCAUCAAAUUUCCAGUUGGAAAUGCAAUGAAAAGCCUGUUGAGAUUUCACUUCAAGGACAUAUUUCAAUCCAUUAUGGAUUCAAUAUCUCAGACAUUAAAAUAAGGGAUUGUAUACAAUGAGACCAUUUGCUUUUGGUACAAGGAGGUCACAAUUACGUAUAACCAUCCAAUGUGAAAUCUGAUAGCUCGGGUGUUUUGCAAAGUUUGAGAAAAUUUCUUUCGAACUUUGAGCUUGGUCAAUGAAAUAAAUGCAGCCCCCAAUUUCACAUCCAAUGGUCAAGAUUAAUUGUGACCACCUUGUGCCAAAGGUAAAUGGUCUCAUUAUAUAUUCUCUCUUAAAAUAAAUUUCGGAAUAGUUUGAUUUUUGCAAGUUUGUUUACUCCGUUUUAUGGAUGGAUACCUGCUGAAUUUAUAGAUAACUAGCCUUAGUUUAAUCCUAAAUGUUCUCCAAACAUGUUCUAGAGUAUUGUAAUAAAAGAUUAGCGAAUGUUUCUCAUCUUAGGUUUCUUCACAAGCUAGCAAAUAGACAUGGUGUCUUAAGUCUCUAUGAUGGACUUCUAAAUUUUGUACCUUCAACAAAAGCUGAUACUAAAGGAGCAGGUUUUUAAUAGCAAACAAGCUACGACACAAGGAGAUAGGAAGAAAGCCAAAAGGAAACAAGUUAUCUACGCAAAAAUUCACAUAGGAAAGAGAAGCCCUUACGGAAAAGGAAGAUCCGCAAUGGUCCAAGGAAGGGAAUUUCCAUUAGAAGCAUGGGGAAGUCCUUCGGGAGAAGAGCCCAACACCCAACAUCUUUAGGAAUUCACUGCUACAUCAAUACAAGGAGGGGUUUGUUUGGCCCAUUAUUGUGCCAUGGUUAAUUGACUCUAUAAAGUAUGCUAAGAAUACAUUGCAAUUUGCGAAUUACCUGCUCUCCCAUGUUCGAUCUUCUGACUCAUGGAAGGAUGUCAUUUUCAGUGCAUUGAUGGAAAAAAAUCUGCAGUUUAUUAAGGAACUAAACAUAGCAUAAGCUUCUCAAAGAAACACACAUAAAUUGGCAGAGAUUAAAAAUUCAUGGUGGCAAGUCAAUAAAAGUUGAUUUUGGAAGUGAAGAAGAAUAAUAGGAAGAAAUUACUAGCACUAAUAGGUGGUUGUGCAAAAAUGUGAACCCAUAAUGAUCUGAGAGAUAUAUGCAUGUCUUUAGACUUCACUCACGCUUGCAAUGUGGAAGUCUUUAUGAAGGAUAAUGGAAGAGAUAAUGAACAAGGGCAGCCAAAUGUAAUGAUAAAAGUAUCACAUAAAAUCAUAAAAAACUACACACUGAGAUUGAAGGGGUUCUAAGAAAGCAAUGGACAUUGUCAAUGAAUAUGGAAGAGGGGAGGUCAAAAGAAGCAAAUGAAAUAAAGGACAGCCAAGAAAACUACGGAUUAUCAAACAGAGGGAUCAUGUAAGUUCGAUGCCUUUUGGUGUCAUCAAAAUAUAGUUAUAUUAUGGAGCUCUUUAACUGGAUUGAGCUUUACUUACAUAAUUUUACAGAUAGGGUAGUAUUUCAGAUGAGUUGUAUAAUUCUGAUAAGAGUUGUAUACAUCACAUUUGUCACAAUUUUACAGGAAUUGCAUCAUAUAAUUACCGAAAGAUGUAAACCCCGCCAUGGCCGGUCCCAAGCCUGGUUAAAGGAGGAGGGUUGUAUUAGGCAAAGAAGCCAGAGCAAAAGUUUGCCACAUCUUUUCAUGAAUCCUAAACCUAUGUUAUUGAUGGAACAAGAUUCAUGUAGCCGGCCCCAAAUAGUUCGGAUAAGGCCUUGAUGAUGAUUUACUAAAAGUUGUACCUAUCAUAUUUUACAAAAAGAACAGGCAUGGAGAUCAUAAUUUCAAAACUUGAUUAAGUGUUUCCAAGUUCCAACAAGAACAUUGGUUUUCAUCAACUGUUGUUGAUCCGCUGCACAAUUUGAAUCGAAACCUAUGAUUACGAUUUGUCUCCCACUCAAUGAGUGAAGAAUAUAUUCUUGGAAUGGAUGGAUUCUCAAUGAAUUUGAUGAUACCCACAUAGAGUAUAAUAAUGCGAAAAGUAAGUCAAUAAAUGAAGAAAACAUAGAUAACCAUGACAAGCUACAUACACAAACACGGAAUAGAAUGGGCAAUUUUGUGGACAGCAAUCAUUCGCAUGCUCUCAGGUGUUUGUGCACGCCAGAGUAUGCGGUUGAAUGUAAGCAUGAAUGGCUGUAUAUAAAUAUAUUUAUACAUACACAAACAAGUGUGUGCACAUGUGUACAUGCAUCCUUGAAGCUCUAAAACUCCUUUUAAGAAAUCAAAGUCUGCAAGUUCAAUGAAAGGCAGAAUUUAUCGCCCUCCAUCCUAGAGCAAUCUACUUAUAAAUGUAAAGAACUAGUAUACAAAUGGUGAGGACCAGUAUAACAAAUUACGAAAAAAGAAAUAAGAAAACUCAUUCUCAAAUAAAAGCAACAAACAAAUUGUACAUGCAUGAAACUCAUUCUUCAUUUGGUAAAGCAAUGUAACUUCAAAUAAUACAUACCCUUCCCUGCCUUUGAAGCAAGAUUUGUGACUUCUACCUCUAAAUUUGGUGGUCCCUGCAUAUUUUCAAUCAGAGUUAUCAGAUGUUACAAUCUGCUCCACGACAUCCCCAGCUGGAAAUGAACUAAUUUAUCAUGGACCGCGGAACACGGAUAUAAUCAACACAAAUUCUAUACAACAAAAUUGUUGGGUUUGUAUUUCCCUACUUAGUAAGAAAACAUAAUUAUAAAGAAAGUUUAGGAAGGUAAUCAGCAUAGGUAUGGUAGAAUAAUUUGGAAGACUUUCGCUACAGAUGUUAGAGGUCAUCAAGAAUUGGAAGUCAGCAAUCCAUAAUUCCAUGUGUAAAAGGUUGCGACUAUAUGUGCAAAUCUUUGGCAUGCUUUAUUUAAUGGGUGGGGUUUGCACAAGGUUGCAACCUUAAACAAUCAAGUAAGGUGCACCACAAAUUUUAUCAUAAGAUGUAAUUUUGGUGUAGAAGAUUCUUAGGAUGAACUAAGAAUCCAUUUUCAUCGCUCAUAAUCAUCAUAGCCUUUUUCCAAUUAUUUGGGGUCGGCUACACAAAUCCUGGUCCGCCAGUUUGCUCAAUUAAAUGCCAUACCCUCAGUGAAGCCAUAAGUUCCCAUAUUUUUCGGAUUACUUCCAACCACCUCUUUUUGGGCCUACCCCUUGCUUUGAAAAGACUACUUCUAACCACAUCUUUUUGGGCCCCCCCCUUGCCCUCUUCAGUCCUUCCACUUGAACUAACUCGUACCUCCUAACAAUUGUUAUACUGGGUCGGUGCCACACAUGGCCAGCCCACUGAAGUCUAGAAUCCAUUUUCAUCACUAAUUACAAAAUUUUAGUCUCCAAAAAUGACUCAAAUGAAGUUGAUCUAUCAACAUAAGAAAAUCCUGAAAAUCGACGGUUUAGAUAAUAUGUUGCAAACUACACUAUUUUCUGAACAUAAUCAUUUGAUUUUAUUUUUCCAUGUUCAUACAUCUCGAUGUCGAUAUGAUCAAUUAUAGGAUUUUCCAAUUUCAAAACAGUCUUUUACGAUGGAUUUUUAGAUGCACCUUAAUUCUACAUUUUAAGGUUGCAACCUUAUAUAAAUGUCUUCCUUAUAUAAUUUUAUUUGCUAAUUGAGGAUCACGUGUGUGCUCUAUCUCUUAUUUUCCUUGGAAGAAGUAACUACCUGUUAUUUAAAUGUAUCGUUUUUAGAUUGACUCGACUAAAUAUUUCAAACCUAAAGAUUUAUUGAGACCAGCAUGUUAGGACAUAUGCUUUUUAGAUAUCACAUGGAUUGGUCUUCCACUUGAACUAACUCGCACCUCCUAACAAUUGUUGUACUAGGUCGGCGCCACACAUGGCUAGCCCACUGAAGUCUAGAAUCCAUUUUCAUCACUAAUUACAAAAUUUUAGUCUCCAAAAUUGACUCAAAUGAAGUAGAUCUAUAAACAUAAGAAAAUCGUGAAAAUCGACAGUUUAGAUAAUAUGUUGCAAACUACACUAUUUUUUGAACAUAAUCAUUUUAUUUUAUUUUUCCAUGUUCAUACAUCUCGAUGUCGAGAUGAUCAACUAUAGGAUUUUCCAACUUCAAAAGAGUCUUUUAUGAUGGAUUUUUAGAUGCACCUUAAUUCUACAUUUUAAGGUUGCAACCUUAUAUAAAUGUUUUCCUUAUUUAAUUUUAUUUGCUAAUUGAGGAUCAAGUGUGUGCUCUAUCUCUUAUUUUCCUUGGAAGAAGUAACUACCUGUGAUUUAAAUGUAUCGUUUUUUGAUUGACUCGACUAAAUAUUUAAAACCUAAAGAUUUAUUGAGACCAGCAUGUUAGGACAUGUAGUUUUUAAAUAUCACAUGGAUUGGUAGAAACUCCAGGUAAAUAUAACUACCAUUUCGUGCUCCGACAGGGGCAUACUCUCCAUCUACUCCCUCAAGUAACACUCAAUCUACAAGUACUUUUAGGACCAAAAUAUUUGGUGACUGACCUCUUUAACCUAGUACUAACCUGAAAAGGACAAAAAAAAAAUUCAGGUCGCACUUUCUUAUGUGCCUAAAAAAAGAGCCCCAAGAUUGACUGAGACUAUCCUAUAUUUGAAAAAGCAUAUUUAAGUAUUGAACAUCUCAAAAUUCAUUUUUUUCCAAAAAGAAAUCAUAUAGUAAUUCUAAGCUGGAUCACAAAAUUUAUGAUAAAAAGGGUAUUUCAAAGUUUUUUACGAUGAAUUUUUUUAUGAUGGAUUUUUCAAAUUUAUGAUAUAGAUUGCAACCUUAUAUCAAAUUUUCCUUAUUUAAUUUUAUUUGCAAAGUAUGGGUCAUGUGUGUGGCCUAUCUCUGAUUUUCCUUGGAAGAAGUAACUAAGUAUUAUUUAAAUGUAUCGUUUUUCAGAUUCACUUGACUAAAUAUUUCAAACCUAAAGAUUCAUUGACACCACCAUGUCAGGGCAUAAGCUUUCUAGAUAUCACAUGGAUUGGCAGAAACUCCAGUAACUGUCAUUUCGUGCUCCGGUGGGAGCAUACUGUCCAUUUACUCCCUCAUGUAAAACCCAAUCUAGAAAUACUUUUAGGACCAAAACAUUUUGGUGAUGUGGCCUCUUUAACCUAGUGACUAACCUGAAAAGGGAGAAAAAAAAAAAAAAAAAAAUUCUGGCUGCACUUGUUUAUGUGCCUAAAAAAAUGGUCCCAAGGUUGAAUUGAGACUGUCCAAUUUUGGGAGGGUCAGAUUUAAGUAUUGAAGAACUCAAAAUUCAUUUUUUUCCAAAAAGUAAUCAUAUGGUGAUUCUUAGGUGGAUCACAAAAUUUCUGAUAAAACGAAGCCUCGCAACUAGGUUUUUUUUUGGCUUGAGGAAGUAAGUGUACAAUUCGAUCUUGCAUGACCAUGGUAUAUGCAUUCAAUAUAAUUUCAAACUCCUUAAAGUUUUAUCAAUGCAUUUCAUAAGGCUCACAUAGAUGGUUUUCCAUUUAUAUCAAAUAUUGCCUUCACUAAUCUUAUGCCCCAGGAUUUAGAUCAAUGCAGAUAUCAGAUCGUGAAAGUCAAUUUCAUUUUCCCAGACAUAUCUACAAUCCACUUAACUAGUGAACAGGUCAGUAAACCUCAGAAAUAACAGUUUCUUGAAACCGUUUUUAUGUAGUGUCCAGUUAUUUCUAUGAUCUGUUCAGCUUCUGAACACAUAGCAGUCCACACAAAUUCCAGUGGUCUAUUUAUUUGGCUUCUGACAUGCCUCAGUUCAGUGAAUCCUAAAACACAAAAAAUGGUAACAGACAAAUGAUGACAACAGGAAAAUGAGAAAGAACCCAAAAAUCAAAUUGUGGCAACCUAUAAGAGAUCAUUAAACUCAUGUACAUACCUUUUGAGGAACUUCAAAGAUGAAUAGUUCAUUCCACCUAACAGUUCCUUGGAGUUCACUCUUGUUCUCUGAGAUCAGAGGCUUGACACAUCGAGUUCUUGCACUCUGAGGAAAUAGCUUUUGCUGAUCCAUAGCUUGACUAGCAGACACCAAGCGUAAAGCACAGAAGAAGUCAUGUUUAUUACCAUCAUCCAAUAAAGUCAAGCCCUGCAGAUAUAUCACAGAAAAAUAUAGAUUCAAACAGAUUCUCAAAAUGGAUAAAGAGAUCAUCAACAAUUUCAAAAUAUAUGACCUUAGAGUCAAGGAUAUGCACGGUCACAUAGUGGUGGUUUUCCCUCAUCUCUGUCGCAAAAUUAAACCUAUCUGAGAACCUGGGUGGUGGUAGCCAAGCUGAAGUACUCUCUUCAUGCUUUAAUGAUUCAAUUUCCUUUGAGUUUUGAACAUAUUUUUUAACAUAAAUAUCACAUCCAAGCUUAUUCUCUAUAAUUACUUUCCCAAAAUCAUCUUCUUCCAAUGCAAAACAAGUUGAACCAUCUAACUGUCCUUGACCAUUAUCUGCUUCCUGCAAUUACAUACAACCAUGAAUUCACUAUCAUUCAGUAGAAUGAUACAAAUCAGAAGACAAAAGUUGAAAACCUAUAUGCCAUAGCUAACCUCAGUGGCUUUCAUCAACUUUUCCUCUAACUCAACUUGUCUUCUCCAAGAAACUACAGACCCCACACAAGUUUCAAGAUUAGCAGCAGUGAUAUUAAGAUUCACAGUGCUUGUUGCAGCAAUCCGCACUCGUUUUCCAACUCUGGAAGGCAUAUGAAUAUUGCUUUCAUAUGAUUCAUACCUCCAAAGGACAAAAGAAGGAAAAACAAUUUAGGAAAUUAAGUGAAUGCUAGACCUAAAAUGGCUCAUCAUAAACAAGAUUGCAAGACAAUACUUAAAAGAAAUGAUGAGAAAUGUAACUGGCAUUACACACGAUAGCAAAAGAAAACACAAAAAUCAUGAUAUGGCCACAGGUAACCCUUACUUGAAUAUGCCAUCAAAUGGUUCAACAAGAGGCUCCCAUGCUUCCAAUUGAGAAUUGAAUGUUCAUGCACCUAUGGAAGAGAUCGAUACUGCAUUCAUGGCCUCUAAGCGGCCAGUUGUCACAAGGUUAAGAUUCGAAACUGUUGCGUAGAAUAGUGGUGUCAUCUGCAAAGUUUAAAUGUCAAAAGGAGUUCCCUACAUAUAGAUACGGAAUCAUUUAUUAUGAAGGGACAUACCAUCCCAUAGAGGCCAUCAAGGACUGUCAAAGAAAAGCAUCUUAACUUCAUUUCAGCACUGAUAUUCUGUCGAGACUUGGGUUUCACACAAUCAGCUAUGCUAUAAGCCAAACGGCUAGAUGGUUUCCUCAGGUCAGAUCUUGCAAGGAAUGUGCUAGCCUGCAAAAGAAGAUGUAAGCUCCAAUCACAAUGUAUGUCAAGUGCUAUUUAUGAAGCAGCAAUCAGAUGGAUACAAGGAAUCCUACAACAAUCAAAAGACAAUGAAUAAACUAAGAACACACAACACAUGGAUUCCAAUUAAAACCCAACGAUGUAUGAAGCACCAUCCUAAUGAAAGAGGCAAAACUAGAGUGAGAAUAUAUUAAUAAACACCUGAUUUUGAACUUUCCAAAUGCUCCAGUUGUUGGAACCGCUAGAACUAGAACCCUUACUAAUGGCUUCAUCAGAAAUGUUCGCCUGAUUAACAAGAUCCAUUCGUAGGCAGCAGAGGGAUUCCACACAUGGCAUGGCAUCUGUCCUUGACACUAUGCAACCCAUAGAAGCAUAACCAGGAGGAGAGAUGGGGAACCAAAAGAAAGCUUCUUCAAUCCCUUUCCCCACUACAUGAGCAAUUCUGGUAAACUGCACAGGCUUAGCAGAAAGCCCACUAGUAUCGUUCCUAAACAUUAAGCCUAAAGUAGGAGGUUCCAAUCUGAGAAACAAGAAAAUACAAGAGAUUGUUUGAUUCAGAAGAUUCAAAACUGAUAAGAAGAAAAAAGAAAUUAUAUCCACAAAUACCAAUCUCACCCUACAGUUAUACAAUCACCAAGAAUGGUAAAACCAGGACGUGGAAGCGGUCGCCAUAUCGAAACAGGUUUUCUAUGAUCAGAGCCCUUAUCCCACCAAAUUCUUUCAAAAUGCGGGGUGGACAUGUAGUAACUACUGGAUUUUGAAAUCGACCUAAGCAUAUCCCACCCAUAGGAAGUCACACCCAGAUCAGCCUCUCGUAUAUCAUUAUUAUUUUUCAUGGAAAUAUCUAGGCUGGGAAUAUUGAUCGAAUUUGAUUGCUGCGUUGGGCUACGACGUAAAAUAUCACGCAAAUCGCAGAGAACAGUUUUCGGAGGGCAUUCAGUGGAAGCAUGUGCAUAAAAUGCAGACAAUUCUCAAGGCGCCAGAUGCUAAAUCCUGAAGAAAACCUGAAAGGAUCAAACAAAAAUAAACCAUAUAUUAACAUAAUGGAUAAACAAAGCAGCCUCAAAUAUUAUCAUCUAUCUACAAAUAUACACAUAUGCACGCACGCAGCGCAUGCACACACGCACAGAGAGAGAGAGAGAGAGAGAGAGAGAGAGAGAGAUGCAUAUGUGCAGUGGAUUCGUAUGUAUGUGCCUUCAUGUACGUGUGGGAGUGUCAGUGGCCGUGAAUGGUACAUGUUCGUAUGCAUAUGUGCAGUGCAUUGAUACAUGGCAGCAUGCACUCACAUGAACAUAUAUAAUAAUGAGUAAUAUGAAUCGAAACAUGAGCACAUGCAUUACAAUGAUCCNNNNNNNNNNNNNNNNNNNNNNNNNNNNNNNNNNNNNNNNNNNNNNNNNNNNNNNNNNNNNNNNNNNNNNNNNNNNNNNNNNNNNNNNNNNNNNNNNNNNNNNNNNNNNNNNNNNNNNNNNNNNNNNNNNNNNNNNNNNNNNNNNNNNNNNNNNNNNNNNNNNNNNNNNNNNNNNNNNNNNNNNNNNNNNNNNNNNNNNNNNNNNNNNNNNNNNNNNNNNNNNNNNNNNNNNNNNNNNNNNNNNNNNNNNNNNNNNNNNNNNNNNNNNNNNNNNNNNNNNNNNNNNNNNNNNNNNNNNNNNNNNNNNNNNNNNNNNNNNNNNNNNNNNNNNNNNNNNNNNNNNNNNNNNNNNNNNNNNNNNNNNNNNNNNNNNNNNNNNNNNNNNNNNNNNNNNNNNNNNNNNNNNNNNNNNNNNNNNNNNNNNNNNNNNNNNNNNNNNNNNNNNNNNNNNNNNNNNNNNNNNNNNNNNNNNNNNNNNNNNNNNNNNNNNGACGACGACGACGACGACGACGACGACGACGACGACGAGAGAGAGAGAGAGAGAGAGAGAGAGAGAGAGAGAGAGAUGCAUAUGUGCAGUGGAUUCGUAUGUAUGUGCCUUCAUGUACGUGUGGGAGUGUCAGUGGCCGUGAAUGGUACAUGUUCGUAUGCAUAUGUGCAGUGCAUUGAUACAUGGCAGCAUGCACUCACAUGAACAUAUAUAAUAAUGAGUAAUAUGAAUCGAAACAUGAGCACAUGCAUUACAAUGAUCCCCCAACCCUAGUUAUCUUUUACUAAUUACAUCCAUUCCAUCCCAAGUUAAAUAACCAAAAUCAUUGAAAGCAGUAAAACGUGAAGUGCCAAGUGAAGGGGAGACAAUACCUUUGGUCUGGGGGGACAUACAAAAUGCAAUCUGAAAAGGCUGCAGACGUCACAAGAUCAGAACGAAUGCAAUAAACAAUGUGGUUUGGUGGUGGUCUGCCGCCAAUUUGACCUAUGCAUCCUAAAGCACAGUAGCCCAAAGGUGCAAUUGGCAUCUAUAGAGAGCAAUCACUGUCACCAUCUGACUGAUCAUCUGACUGGGUAGCAUCCCCUUCCAAUCCCUGGAUUUUGGAGAAUAAACCGAGGAGCUGGAAACUUAUAGGCUUCCUUACACAGCCAUAAGUAUUACUCACAGCCAUUACAACUUGAGAAGGGGUCGUUGGCCUGAAACAAAGAGGAAAUCAAAAUUAGAAUUGAUGACGAAAUUGUGGCCUUCCAUUGGAUUAGAUUAUUUAAUUUUUUAUAUAUUCUAUUGGUGGAAAAAGAAAACUUAUUUAAUGACGCAAUGAAGGAUUUUUAUUGUUUUUCUUAUUAUAUUUCAUUAAAUUGCUUGGGACAAGUUUAUUAUAGUCAUUUGGUCUUUUGAUUUUAUUUAGUUAUCUCAGGGUAAUUUAUGCCCUUUUUUGUAGUAGAAAAUUAACGGGUAGUUAAGUCCUUUUUAAUUUCUUAAAGUAGGAACAGUUAAGUCUUUUCUUUUGGGACAAAAUGGUGGGACUUCCAGUGCCUUGGUGAUUGCUUUUGAAAAAAAAAUUGAGAAUAAAAAGAGAAAAAAAGGGUUUCCUCGUUUCAUUAAUUGAAAACCCAAUGAAAAGGUCUAAAGGCUUCGUAGCACCAAUCAAGGUACCAAAGUUCCAAGGUAUUUGAUGCAAAGAAAAUUGAAGGAACAAUAAAAUCAGCAAGAAACAAAGCUAAACACAAGAACAAGUCGAAGAAACCAUAGAUUUUUUAUUUUUUCUCCAUACCCCAAGCUAGGGUUCCAAAAACUUAAGCUUCUCUCUCUUUCAAUAUUUAAAAAUCAUAUGGAAUUGACCCUCUCAAGGCCCUACACACCUCUUAUAUAUUAUAAUUUAAUGUUCAAAGACAUUAUAUCUCCAUACAAUGAUUAAAAUGGCCUACAUAUCUUAACUUAAACUUAAAUUUCGUAAUGACAGUUUUGUCCCUCUGAACAGUACCAUGAAUAGUAAUCAUGAAUGACACUUGUGAAUAGAACUUAUGAAGUAAAUAUAAAAAUAUAAAAACCCUAGAAUCCCUUAAAAACUGAAAAACUCAAGUAAUAAAGGCUAAAACUGAAACUAUAAUAUACAUCCUUUAAAGUUGAAUAAAAACAAAAAAUAACAAUAAUUUUGCCCUCCAUCAGUAUUCUUUAAUUGUUAUCUUUUUUUCUCCUUCCUCUUGUCCUUAUUUCUUUUCCCUUCUCCUCUCUCACAAACUUCCCAUUUCUCUAUCUUUUUCCUCCAAUUUUUGUUCUCCCCUUUCCUUUUCUUUUUUCCAUUUUAUUCUCUUAUUCUCUACUCCCUUCUUUUCCUCUAGCGUUGUCUUACCAUAGUCCUCUAAACAACACAUGUACUCCAUCCAAAAAUCCACCAAGUCCCUCAAAAUUAACCCUGUGGUAAAUAUUAUGGCCCCUAGCUGCUAUUUAAGGAACUUCCUGUGAAGGAGCAUGUGAUAUUAAGGCAGAUUGACCAAGAAUCACCACGGUCUAGGCUUAAAAAAUUCAAUAUGGCAAUAUGAUCAAAUUAGGUUUCAAAGAAGUCUCUCUAAUCACUUUGUAUUUGUCAAAAGAGAUUCCUAUUCUACAACGACACUAAUAAUGUACGUGGAUGAUAUCAUGCUCAUAGGAAAUACCUUCACAAAAUUCAAAAAGUUAGAGAUUUGUUGAGGACAGUUUUUGACAUCAAAGAUAUUGGUCCAUUGAAAUAAUGCUUCACUCAAUGACAGAAGCGCUUAGAGCCAAACCAACAAAAUCUCCCAUAAAGGCUAAUAAUAAAUUUUAUGAUCUGCAGUCAAAGCGUCGGAGUAAACGUGGUAUACAUCAGAGUUUUGGUUGGUAGACUUAUCUACUAGACUUACAUAGCCAGACAUGAAACAUUCAUAAGCAUGGCAAGUUAGUUUAUGCAUGCGCCAUGCUCCCAUCACCAAGGGACCCUUUAUCGCAAUUUAGAGUAGUUAAAAGCUCUAUGGAAAGAACAUGCUUAUAACAGUCACAUCCAUGCUAUAAAAGGCUUUUAUGAUCGUAGUUGUUGGAAGCAUGACAUUCUGGGAGCAUUUUAUGAGUUGGAUGUGGGGAAUCACAAAACCCUAGAAGCUUCUGAUGGUAGGUAGCACCACCCGUACAAUGCACAUCUCAGGAACCAAGAUUUCUACCUGUUGGGAAUCAUAUUCAACCACUUGGAACCUCGCAAGUAAUUAUCAAGGAACAAGUUCCAUAAGACAAAAAGGUUCAAGGCUCUAGAGUAUCCUCAACCAAGAAUCCCUUGGUACUGGAAUCAAUGUAAGGAGUACGCUUAACCACGACUCCCUAGUAUUGGAAUAGAGGUCCUCAACUUCCCUAAACAAAGGUUCCCCUGGCAUUGGAAUCGUUGUAUUUAGUGUUUAAAAAAUUGGUGAUCCGAUCCAAAAUUGCCCGAUCCGGAUAGGGUAUCGACCACGCCGUUCUGAAUUUUGAAAUAAAACGGGAUCCGGCCGGAUCCCCUCCUGAACAGAAGGUCCGUGCCGGUUUUGUCAUAAAAACCCGGAAAUCUCCACCAGUUCCACCUGUUUGUUGAUUUUUCUUAUUAAAAAUUAAGUGUGGGGGACCCCAUUCCAUCACGUGGCAUCACCAGCAUCUUUGGGCUUGAACCUCUCACAUGGCCUACUUUCCUGCAUCCCCUCACAUGGUGCCUUUUACGAUGGGUUAAACUCUUUUAUACGACCAUUUCGCCCACAUCUCUUUGAUGUGGGAUAUAUCAUCAUUGUCCAUAUUAGCAUGGCUCACUCUAGCGUUAUUGACUAUGAGCUUAUACUUAUAAAAAAAAAAGCGCAUGGGAUUAUACUUACUAUAGGCUACUAUCUUUAGCUAAUUGGGAUUAAAAACAAAAAAAUAUUAGCUCAUAGGAUAUUAAAAACACAAAAAGUAAUAGUAAUUCUACUUUAUUGACCAUUAAAAAACUAGUUUAUACUUUACAGGAUAUUCUAAGAGAAAAAUAUAACACUAGCCCAUACAACUUUAGAAUUUAUUUUCAAGUUGUUUUAUCAAUUAUCACACAAUACAAAUAUGAACUUAUUUAUUUAUUAUCUUAAUUUUAUUAAAAUAUUCUAAAUUAUAUAUUUUGUUCACAUUAAUUAUUACACACAAGAUUUAUUUAUUUUUGAGGGUCAUAUCCUUGUUUUUUGAAUCAAGUUUAUUACAAUAAUAUAAUUAAUAAUUAUACUAAUUACAUUGAUUACCAAGUCUUAUAUUUUUAUGUAUUAAUUUAUUUACAUUAUAAAUUAUAUAAUAUACUAGUUUUUGUUAUAAUUGUAAAUUAAAAUUUUAAAAUUAGAUGAUAUUAUUAGACAAAUUGUAAAAUUUAUUCUUAUUUGAAUAGUAAAAUGAUUAUAAAAUAUAAACUAAUAAUUCCAACUUCAAUGUAUAAUAUAAAUAGUUAGCUAGGUUGUGAUAAUUUUGGACAAGUAAAGAGAAUUAAUAAAUGUUUGAUGCGAUACUAAUCCCACUUUAUAUGGGAAAUUAUUGUUUUAAUCUUAUAAUAUGGAAGUAUUUUGAUGCAAUAUUAUAAUAUUAUAUUAUAAUUAACAAUUAUAUAGAUAUCAGGCAGAAAAAUAUCUUAGUAUUCAUCUAUUUUUACAAAGUAAUGAAAGUACAUAAUGCACCACUAUUAAUUUCUUUUAAAAACUAAAAGAACACUAUUUUUAGAGAUUUAUAGUGAUUUUUUGAGGAUUUGUUUAGACAAAAAUUGCUGAUUUGGCUGAUUCUCCGAUGUGAUCCAUUGAUCCGACACGGGGAUGGGUGUGACCGAUUCGUGCCACCGCUUUUUUAAACAUUGGUUGUAUUGAGUGCCCUUAACCACGGUUGCCCACAAGUAAUGGAAUCAAGGUCAUCGAGUGCCCUUAACUAGAAUUCUUUAAGUACUACAGGUAAGAUUUAGGAGUCUAGACACCCACCCUUGUUGGAUAAAGUAAAAUCCAUUUAUUAAUUAAUCAUAAAAUCCACUCCAAACCCCAUAUUCCAUGAAAGAACCACGAACAAUGAGGCUGAUUAUUACUUUGAAUAUAUGGCUCAGACAUUCAUUUGGCAAACCCUAAACCCUAAUUCCCUCCCUAAACUCAAAUCUUAAUUUCUUACAUCCCAUUAACCCCAAAAUCCUAGACUAAAUUGUGGGAUUCCUUCCAAAAUUUAAAUCUCUUUUAUGCCCUCAUCUUCCCUCUGGGCUGUUCGCUGGUCUAUAAUUUGAUAAGAAAUUUCAUUUUGGAUAAUUUUGCUUAAGGACAAAUUUCAAAUCAUUCCAAAUUAAAAAUCUCACCUCCUAGACAUUGAGGCAAAUUCCUAGAUUUUUGAUUCGCUAAAGAUUGCUUAUUUACUUUUCUAGAUGAUUACUCACUGAAAUUAUCGAUUUUUAGCGAUGUUUAUAUUUAUACAGUUCUCCAAACGUAUUUGCAGGUCUAGUAGUAGAAGAAUAGUGAGUCGCGAAUAAUAAGUUGUGUCGGGAAUGUAUACAUUUGCUACUUAGGCAACUGAUUGAGAAUUUCAGGGAGAAGGGACCUCUACAUGGUCCUUAUUGAUUUAGAGGAAACAUACAAAAAGGUACCUAGAGAGCUAAUUUGGUGGAUGUUGAAAAAGAAAGGAGUCUCUAGAGGACAUAUGGAUAUGGUGAGAGAUAUGUACAAAGGAUUGGUAAUUAGUGUGAGGACAACUAGUGGAGAUACUAGUGAGUUUUUUGUCACAGUAGCCAACAUUAGGUGUGAGCAUUGAGCCCAUAUCUCUUUGUUUUCGUUAUGGAUCAUUGGACUAGGUACCUAUAGGAUGAGCUAUUAUGACGUAUCUUGUUCGCAUAUGACAUAGUUUUGAUUGAUGCAAUUAGAGUUAAUGUAAAUGCAAAGUUAAAACUUUGAAUGGAUGCUCCAGAAUCUAAAGGUUUUAAAAUUCGCUAAACUAAGACAGAGUAUAUGGAUUGCAAGUUUACCAAUAAUAGGAGUAGAAUCAAGGAGGUAGUUAAGAUCGACGGCCAGGAAAUACGAAAAAGAGCGCAUUUUCGACCAAGUUGUUCAAAAAGUUGUUGAGAACAAGGAAAAUACAAGUCUAAUGGAGGAAAAGUAUUAUGGUACCUAUUUACAAGAACAAACGAGUGCGAACUAUCGAGGGAUCAAACUUAUGAGCCACAGCUCUAAGAGAGAGUGAUUGAACAAUGACUAAGGCAUGAAACGAGCGCUUCAGAAAACCAAAUCGGUUUUAUGUCAAGGAGGUCAACAACUGAGGCCAUUUUCCAACUUAAGCAGCUGAUUGAGAAGUUUAGGACAGAGAAAAGAACACCACAUGGUCUUUAUUGAUCUAGAGAAAACUUAUGAUGAAGUACCUUGAGAUAUGAUUUGAUGGGUGUUGAAAACGAAAAAAGUCUGCAGAAACUACAUCAACUUGGUGAGAGAUAUAUACGAUGGAGCGCUAACUAGUGUACGAACAACUAGUGGAGACACAAGUGAGUUCUCAAUUACAAUAGGUCUACAUCAACGGUCAGCAUUGAGGCCAUACCUCUUUGUCUUAAUUAAGGACGACUUAACUAGGUACCUACAAGAUGAGGUGCCGUGGUGUAUGCUAAUCGCAAGUGACAUAGUUUUGAUCAAUGAGACCCAAAAUGGCGAAAACGCAAAGUUGAAACUUUAGAGGGAUGCUCUAGAAUCUAAAGUUUUUAAAAUUAGCCGGACUAACACAGAGCCCAUGGAAUGCAAGUUUAGUAAUAAUAGAAGUAGAGACGAGGAGGUAGUUAAGAUAGACGGCCAAAAAUACCAAAAAAAGAGCGUACUUUCGAUAUCUUAGGUAAGAUGUCACCCAUGGAAUUAGAGAUGGGUGAGCGAAAUGGAGAUGUGCAACCGGAAUUUUAUGUGAUCGCCACAUACCAAUGAAGCUGAAGGACAAGUUUUAUAGGACAACUAUGAGACCAGCUUUAUGGGACAAAAUGUUGGGCGAUCAAAAAUUAAUAUACCAAUAGAAUGAGAGUAACGGAGAUAAGGAUGUUGAGGUGGAUGUGUGGCAAGACAAGAUAGAAUUCAAAAUUAAUACAUUCGAGAAAAUUUGAGUGUAGCACCAAUAUGCGAUAACACGAGAGAUAAUAGACUUAAAUGGGUUGGCCAUGUGUGGCGCAGACCUAGUACAACACCUGUUGGGAGGUGCGAGUUAGCUCAAGUGGAAGGCUCAAAAAGGGCAAGGGGUAGGCCCAAAAGGACAUGGUUGGAAGUAGUGAGAAAAAGAUAUGGGGACUUAUGGCCUCAUUGAGGGUAUGGCCCUUAAUAAAGCAUAAUGACGGACUAGGAUUCGCAUAAUGGACCCCAAUUAGUUGGGAAAAGGAUUUAACGAUGAUGAUGAAGAAUAUGUGGAAUGCUAGUUUAGUAGUAGUAAGCGUAGAAACAAAGAAAUAGUUAAGAUUGAUGGCCACCUAAACGAGAUUAUUGUCGAUAUCUUAGGUUAAUAAUCCAAGAAAAUGGAGAGAUUGAGGAAGAUGUCGUGUAUAGAAUUAGAGUUGGGUAGGUGAAGUGGAGAUGUGCAUCCAAAGUUUUAUGUGAUUACCACAUACCAAAGGAGUUGAAGGGGAAGUUCUAUAGGACGACUGUAAUAACAGCCAUGGUUUAUGGGACAAAAUGUUAGAGUGGUCAAAAACAACAUAUCCAUAUGAUGAGUUUAGCUUAGAUGAGGAUGAUGGGAUAGAUGAGCGGCAAGAUAAGAAGUGAUAAAAUUCAGAAUGGAUACAUCAGAGGGAACUUAAGGGUGGCUCCAAUAGGCGAAUAGAUAAAGGGGAAUAGACUUAGGUGGGCUGACCAUGUGCAACGUAGGCCUAAUACAACACUUGGUUAGGAGGAAUGACUUGAUCGAAGUGGCAGGUUCUUAAAGGGCAAGGAGAAGGCCCAAAAUGAUGAGGAUGGCAGUAGUGAAAAGAAAUACGGUGACUUCUAGUCUGACUGAGGGUAUGGCCCUUAGUACAGCGGAAUAGUGAAACAAGAUUUGUAUAGCCGACCCCAAAUAGGGAUGAGGAGUGAAUAUUGAUUAUGGUGAUGAUGAUCAGGAUUAUAUAUAUACACCACACAGUGAAACGUUUCGACCAAAAGAGGAGCGAACCCAAUACUUAAGUGCUACAGUAGUUAUCAAGAUGCAUGCAGAUGUAUUAAAUUUCCUAGAACAAUCUUUAACUUUGAUGCAACCCAACAGCAACAUGCUUCUCACCUCUCUAUUAGAAUAUUCAGUUUCCUCAUAUUUACGACAUACAAAAUGGCAAGUACAAAAUAGAUACCACAUUCCAUCAAAGUUAGCAGUUGAAUUACACUAAAGAAAAGGGCGCCUCAUAUAAAAGAAAACAAUAUCUAUGAUUUCCUGAUUAGUCGCAGAGACGAUAUCAAGUUUAUUGGGAAAGCAUAAGUAUGUACCUGCCACAGAUUUAUACAAGAACAGGAAACAAAAGUAAAUAUAAGGAAAUUUAAGAAAGAAAAGUGUCAUUCAACAUAGAAAAUAUAAGUUAAUAACUUAAAGUAGUUUUGAGACAUUCUGUUGGAGUUAAGAAUAGAAACUACCCAGAUGUCAUACAGUCACCAAGAAUGACAUAACCUGAAGGAGCUUGGGGUCUUCAAAUGGUCAGACCUUGCCAAGUUCUAUUACCUGCAAUAAUAAGCUUCUUGUUAAAGAACUAAAAUGAAGCAUUACUGCAUAUUGCAACAAUUUUUCAAUAGUAAAAAAUUAAAAACUUUCCAAGUCAUACGAAGUAUCAAAUUAAGGGAGAAAACCUUUCCGUGAUGUCCAAACUCGAACAAAGUUGGUACAUGAAGCAACUGGACUUGCAUUGCCAAAUUGCAGUGCUGCAGCUGCCUGAUUUUGCAAGUGAAGUACUAGAGAAAUCGCACUCAAAGAAAGACGGAUAUAAAUAUCAGAAGAUACCACAGAGAUAUUGGUCUUAUCUUUCAAACAAGUGUAUCCUCCCCAAAUAUCUACUGGAUCAAGGAUCACAAGACCAGAACCAGCUUCAAUUGUCAAAUCUUUAAUAAGUGCUCGUACCCAAGUAUCUUUCCCUUUUGCAGCAAACCUGCACAUAGGACAGACAAAUUCAUUCAUAUCAGCGAAUGCAUAGAAACAUACAGGGGAGCAAUACCCAUUAUUAUCGAGAAAAUAAUCAUUGUUAAAGGGAAUUCUUCUUAUUAUAUAAGCUGUUUCAAUGGAAGCAUUUACCAUCUAAAAUAAUAUUUUAAGGAAACUUACAAAAUGAAAGAAGAACUCAAAUUCAUGAUGUACUUCAGUAAACAACAGAAAGCAAAUAAAGCACAUCUGUAGUAGCCCACGAAUCUUGAAAGUAGCACUAGUUCAACUACAGAACUGAUGAAAUUGAUAUAAAAAUGCCAUGCCAAGAAUGACUACAUCAACAUCUUUGACAUGUAGUAAAACACAAAACAAACGAACAUACACCAAACAGGUGCUAUAAAUUUUGCUAUAUAAAAUCUGUAGCUAUGAAAGCUCCAAAGUCACAUGGAGUCAAUCGUUAUCUUUCCCCCCUGGUUUUUUUCCCUAAGAUGUUUUGGACCAAAACCAAAUUUGACAGAGGACAAAAAUAUUCUUGUUUUCAAUUAUUUAAUUUCAAAGGAUGUGUGUUCUAAUUUGAAUUUUAGGGAUUAGGAUUUUUAAGUUUUCUAUGGAUUCUUUAUGUGUGUGUGCGUGCGUGUGUGGUUUUAGGAGUUGUGAUCUUCAUGGUUUACAAGGGGAAGAAGAGAGUAAGACUAAUCAAGCAGAUCGCCUCAAGGAAGGAGAGGAAGACAAAGAGGCAGGACAACUCGAAGUGGUGGGGGCCUCAAUAGAGAGAGUGGGGAAAAGAUUCAUAGGCUCCCAUUUGCCUUUAAAUCCCUCAUGCUAUUGACUUUGGCCAUCCGCGAGCAUAAAGCAAUGGGCUGGUCCUUCAAGCCCAUCGUACUAGAAGCCCAUGGUUUGAAAAAUAUCCUUCAUUUUUUCAAUUUCUUUGUGACGUUGUAGCCGUUCUUGUUCUUGACCUUCUUCUUCAAUAACCACCUUGAAGUGUAAUGAGGAACGGGCGAAAGCUGCAACCGACGCUUCGGGUAUACCGUUGUCCCCAUCCCCGUCGACCCCCUCGUCAGACGCACAAGGCAAGGGGGGAGAGAUGAGCCUACAAACGUCUUGAGAGAAGUCCUAAAGCAGAGGAUAGAGGUUAUUGGGGAGGGGAGGGAAGGAAGCCAAAGGGGGUGAGCGGGAGGGGGGGGGAGGGGGGCAGGGUUAGAGGGCGAAGGAGACAAGGGAAGAGAGGGGGUAGGAGGAGGGGGUAAAGGGACAACAGGCACAGAGUGGUAAAAUUGUUCCCCCGAAGAGACCACGGGGGAGUUAUGCGUAGACGGCAAGUAAGCGACAACCAUAGGAGGGAGCAGGGGAAGCCAGAAGGAUCAGGAUAAUGCACAAGCGCAUAAAAUUGCGCAGUAGAAACAAAAUGGUGGGUUGCCCAGAAAAUGUUGGGAGAAAAAGAUCCAAUUAACAAUGAUUAAACAUGGAGAAAGGGUCAAGGGGGGUGGCGAAGGAGUUUUAAGAGAGUAGGCAAAGGGGGAACUAUGGGGUAAAGAAGGAGAGGAGUGGUCCAUGGAGGAGAAUAGGGGAGUCAGGCGAGGGGCGAAGGGGGGAAGAAGAAUCAGAGAAAGCAGAGGGUUAAACCGAGAGGAGGAGGGCAGAGGCUCAACCAAAGAGGGAGAAGAAGAAACAGGGGGAAGCAAAAGAAGAGGAAGAGGAAGAAGGGGGAGGAGAGGCUAUGAAAAGGCCAGGAAGAAGGGAGAGAAGGAAGGAGGGAAGAGGGGGAGUUGGGUGACACGCGUCACCCCGCGGAAGAUCAGAAGGUCAAGGGGCAGCCAGGUGGGGGGACGCAGAGCGGGGCACCGUAACGCACGGUAGGGAAGGGAGGGAAGGCGACAAGACAGAAGGUAGAGGGCAGCGACGCAACUGACUAGUGGAUGGGCGGUAGCUCGAACAACAGCUGGGAGUGACAAGUCGCACCUCAAGGCGGCGAGAGCUUCUCGAGAGGACGAACAAGCAUCACGAGGGGGAAAGGGGAUGGAGGAUAGUGGGCCGGGACACACAAUGUCCGUCCAGGGUAGCAGAGGUGGAGCGAGGCCGGGCUUAAGGAGAGGGCCCGAGGACCACACCCACUCUUCGUCAGGGCCAACUGGUUCCUUACCAGGCCGAUGAGACGGGCCAUCUAGGGUGCUACCUAACUCUGCCGUUGAAAUCAUGGGUCGGUCCUUCCACUUAGCCCUGUCAAGAGGAACAGGUGACUUUGAUGGCGAGAUAGACCAAGGACUGUAGAAAGGUGGUGCAUGCGUCAAGCAGCCAGGAUAUGACCGUUGAAGGGGUAGCACAUGGCCCAGGGAGGCCGCUUGGACGAACAUCUGUGCAGAGGAGGUCGAGGGAUGAGGACACGUGUGAGGUAAGAGGGAGGGAGGGGAAGGCGGGAACAAUGAGGCAGGGACAGAUGGAGGAGAGGAAAAAGUCGAAAUGAUCGGGUCAGGUCGGGCCUCAAACCCGGGUCGUAUACCAAAGGUAAGGGGGGGCAAUUGAGGUCGGGCUUUGGGUAGCAAGCUCACAACGGUUCGGGUAAGGAAAAGGCAGAGAGGUUGCAAGCGACGGUAGAGGACAGUUCAGGUGCCGCCCUUUGCUGGCGGCCAGGUCCGAGGCUUGACGACGACUCUUCUUAGGACGAGGUUUCUUGGAAACAAAGGUCCACUGGGCAGAGAGAGUCUGGGGAUUUGGCAAGGACACCAUAUGGAGGAAGUGAGGGGAAGGGGGGGAGGCCAAAUCCCAGGAGACAGAAAUGGGGAAGAAAAAGUCUUCCACUUCGAUCCAUAAGAUUUUAGGGAUGAACUUGGGAUCCAGCAUUUCCACCAAAACGCGUAUAAACCCCAAGGGGAGAGGUUCAAUCGAGAUUCAAUGAAUAGAAAUCAGUGGACCACGCAUGUAAUGGGAUAUGAUUAAAAAUAAUCCACACCCUCUGUUUCCUAAAAGUGCCCUCUGAAGGCGACCAAGGCCGAAGGAGGAAAGAAGCCCCAUGGAAGGAGAGAGCAUUGGAAUCUUGUAAUGCAAGACGUGCACCAUUCAAGGAAGGGAAAGAAAAGAGAAUAUCACCAGACGAGAGGCGUCUACAGCUAAGGUUAGGCUCCCCCCAGUGUUUUUGAGCGGUCCUUUCAAUCCCUCUGAUAUCGUGACGUCCCAACUUGAAGCAACCGAUCAAGGACGCCAGAAGCUUAGGCUUAGUUUUCUCAGUCACAUCGUGAGGGAUUCAAAUGCAUUGAGGAAGGGAGGGAGACCUGUUGGUAACACUGGGUUCCUUCUGUGAAUGCAAAGAAGGGCUAAGCGGGGUGGUGGGAGUCGUCUUGGUGGAGGCCACUACUUGAGAGUAAGAGGCCCUAGGUUGCGAAGAGGAGGUGGGAAGAGAAGACUCGUGAUGGUCGGACGGAGAAGGAGAAGAAAUAGGCCGAGAAGGCGGGGGAAGAGUUUAAGGAUAAAGGUUGUAAAUAGCCUUCCAGUAUCUCGAAGAGGGAGGGGGCGGGGGGAAACGGCGAGCAGGAGGUGGGGGAGGAAGACGAAGUCUAGGGGCAGGAGCAGAAGAAGCCAUCCAGUUUCCCCUUUCCAUUGACUGUUUUUUGAGUUUGAGAGCUUAAAAUGGUAGUAAUGGCAUUAUCUUUUAAUACAGCCAAGGCAUGAUUAUUUUCUUACUUAAUAUUUCCUUCAUUUAUUUCUUAUUUCAGUGAAUUUUAAUUUUUUAUUUUUAUUUUUUUAUUUUAUUCAAUGGGAUGAGAAAUCAUUAUUUUAUUCUAAAGGGUUAUUAAGGAAGUGGUGGAAUCAUCUUUGAGGGUAGACAUGGAGUUCAUAAUUUUGGGGGAUUUUGAGUGGGGAGUGUUUGUAUGGACAGAGAGGAAGAUGAGGCGACGUAUAAAUUAAGGAAAGAGGAGAAGGUGAUGGGUUUAGGAGUCCUUGAAUUUACAGAGUUAGGAAGUCAUGUAAAGGACAGAGUCCAUGUUACUUUUUCUUCUUUGUUUCUAUAUAUGUAAGGGGGAGACAUGAACCGUCAUAAGGAGGUGGAUCGUUUCCGAUUAAUCAGAGAACUUAUUUGAAGAAACAAAGGGCCCAACAUGAGGCUCAUAAUUUGCUUACUUCUCUCUCAUGACUCAAAGCUUCUAAUGGAUUUUUUAGGUUGUCUGUGUGGUUAAAUCCUUCUCCUUUCUCUACCCUUCUUUCCCUCUAGAUUUUGUUGCUUUCAUUUAGAUGAAAAUGUACGAGUAAAAGAAAAGGAAGAAAGCUAGAAAAGGAAGAAAGCUUUCCAAAUUUACAAAGCACAUUCAUAGUGUUUUCGAACGUUACUAACCCAUCACAUCAAUGAGCUUUCUCAAUUGCAUAUCGAAUUUUUCCAUUGGUGUAUUUCAAAUAUGUUGCUUUACCUCACAGUGACAGUUUUCACAAGUCAUUUGGGCCAUUUGACAUUGUUAGAGAACAUUUCAGUCUACUAAGAGAGUACACGUAAAGAAACUUCCAUAUGAGAAGAGAAGCACGUAUUGAGAAAUAAGGAAAAGCUUUAUGCACAGAAAAACAAAGUGAAUUACAAGCAAAAAAAGUACCUCAAUUUUCACAUUCUUAAACCGCAACUUCUUCCUACAUCUGAUGAAGAUAAUGGGAUUCAGGCCAACCAAUGGAUUUCCUUGUAAAUCAAAAGCUUCUCUCAAACAUAUUGUUCCACCAAACCCAUCAUAAGUGAAUUCAUCAAUAUCAAAAACAUCCACGAUCAAUUGUCGGUCAUGAGAAAGGUACACAAUGUCAUCUCUCUGUUCAUAAUAGGCUGCUGAAAGAACAAUGUGAUCAUUCUUUAUCAUUGGAUCAUUGUGAGGAUUCAAAGUUUCCUCCUUCCCAGUAAUGGAACCCAAAGCAGGCACAAAAAAUUCCCCCACAGCAAGAAGAAAGUCUAGAACAACUAGUACGCGAGGCUGCUGAAUCCGAACGACAAAGGAUUGGGAGUGUGCACGGACUCUGUAGUCCAACAAGAGCAUGGUUACACUGGGAGGAUCUGCAACAAAACCCUCUAACAUCUUCUUUUCAUUAAGAUCAUCAAGAUAUGACAUCUUUGUAUCUCCAAUUGAACCAGAAAUAUUGUAAAGGCCUAAUUUCUCAGCAUCAAAAGAAGAACCAAGCAUUAAACACAUCUCAGGCUUUAUAUCAGGACGGAUGUCCAGAAUAGAAAAUUUAGGAAUAGUAACAUAGAGAUCCGAUUCUGACAGGGAAGUUGUGCGGUAUGAUAACCAAAGCCCUUGAAGCUGUAGAAAAUAUGAAAUGGAAAAAACUUAGGAGAGAUUAAUCACUUCCAAGCAGUUCAAAAGCGAACAUGGUAAAUAUACACAAAUAACAGCAAACAACAAUAUAUAUUACUAAUAUAAAAAAAAUUGAAUUUCCAUGGCCAUCCAUCUCAGUUUUAGUAAUUUUAACUAUUUAAAUCUGAAUCUUGAAGAAUUGAAAACUUACAGCAAUAUGAGCAAGAGGUGAUUCUUCAACAAUGCCAUUGCACAACUCCAGCAAUGCAUAGUUAACUUCAACAGUGACAACUGUUACUGUACGAGAUAGAAAGAUUUGACUGUUGAAAUUUACUUUAUCAACAAGCAAGCGUAUGGAUCCAUUAGGGCCAGUUGAGCUGCCCCUGAAGCUUGGAGGGAGCUGUGGCUCUUCAGAGAUAUUCAUAUAUGCACAAUCAAGGAUAACAAUCUACUCCUUAUCGUUGAUCACUCCAUGUAGUACACCAACCUGUUGAAAACUAUCGAACUAAAAUCAGCAACUACUUGUUCUUUAUGCUCAGAAAGCAUCAAAGAAGGAUAUUAAAAACUGUUAAGAUUGAAAGAGGAGAGAGAACGUAGUAUUCAAGCACAAGAAAGAAAAUAUAGAUGUCUUUUUUCACUCUCUAGAAAUCAUGGGGCAAUGUGCCCGAUAUAUACACAAAUCCCUAUGAGAGUUACAAUACAGGUAGGUCAACAUGCAUAACAAAAACAUUUAUUGUUACAUGAUCAUUACAGCCCAUUAUGCAUGACUAUUACAUGACUGCUACAGCAAAAAAAGCAUGACUGUUUCAGCAAUAAUCCAUAAAAAUUAUUGUAGGCUUAAGAGGUGUGGGGCCCAUAGGUCACUACACUCCCCCUCAAGCCAGAGCACAACUAUCAUGGAUGGUUAGCUUGUCCAAAGUAUCAUUUAGUCAAACUCGACUCAAGGCCUUAGUAUAUCUAACAAUUGAUUCUAUAAUCAAACAAAUAGAGUGCAACCUUUUCUCUAACGAAGUGACAGUCAACUUCAAUAUGCUUUGUUCUUUCAUGAAAUACAGGAUUGGAAGCAACAUGAAUUGCCGCUUGAUUAUCACGAUGUAGAGGAACAAGAGAUGAUACAUUAACCCCCAUCUUUUUAAGACGAGAACAAAGACAAAUUAUUUCACAAGUAGCACUUGCCAUUGCUCAAUACCUUCUACUGAAGAUUGAGCUAUAACACCUUGCUUCUUACUCUUCUAGGUGACCAAAUUACCACCUACUAUCAUAAAGUAGUCACUGGUGGAUCAUCGAUCAAGAGAACACCUAGCCCAAUCUACAUCACAGAAACAUUAUACAUCAAGGUGACUAUGAUUGGUAAAAAGUAGCUCUCUCUCUGGAGUAAAUUUCAAAUAUCGUAUAAUGCUAUAAACAACAUCCAAGUGAUGGGAGCAUGGUGUGUGCAUAAACUAACUUGUCACGCUUACAGUAUAUGCAAUGUAUGGCUGUGUAAUAGUCAAGCAAAUAAGAGUACCCACUAAUCUCUGAUAUAGACUAGGGUUACUUAGAGGCUAUGACUAUUGAUCAUACAAUUUGUGGUAAACCUCACAAGGAGAUUCUGCUGGUUUGGCUCCAAGCAUUCUUGUGUCCUUGAGGAGAUAGAGAGUAUACUUUCUUUGAGAGCAAAAAAAAGCUCCUUGUUUAGACCUAGCCACAUUUAUUCCAAGGAAGUAUUUCAAUAGACCAAGAUUCUUGAUGUCAAAAACACCACCUAAGAAAUCUUCCACAUUUUUUUUGAAUAUGUUGUAGUCAAUGCUAAAAAAGGUGGAGGCGAUCAGGGGCUUUAACUGCCGCCUAGGCGGGUGCCUAGAAAUCUAGGUAGCCCUAAGGGCAAGGGUUGGGGUAGGGGGCUUUUGGGAAUGUGUGUGCGUGUUCGCGUAUGUGUGAGUGAGGCCUCGCAUGAUAUUCUUAAAGAUCAUCAUCUUUCUUUUCUUUUAGAUCUAUAUUUGUGAGAGAGAAAGCUCAAACACUUGGAGGAUGUUCUUCUUUUUCUUCUUCUAAUACGUCGAGAGCAAUGGUUUAAAAAACGGAUCGGUGACCCGGAUCGGGCUUUCAAAAAACCGAUCCGGAUCGGCGAAUCGGCGAUCCGGAUUAGAAAUCGGGUGAAUCGGUCAGAAUAAAGCUUAAAAAAAAUUUGAAAAAAUUAUUAAAAUUCAUUAUAAAUAUUGUUUUUUAGGAAUUCAAUAAAAAAUGAGGGUACUCCAUUAAUAAUUUUCAUGUUUUUGAAUGAAUAUGCGAAUAUUGAUAUGUUCUUUCCCUGCAUGAACCGCCAUUCAACAUUUAAUUUACAGUAUUUCGUGCUCAUCCCUACACUGUUGCUGUUGGGACUCGAUAUGUGAAUAAUAUGGCUGGGAUAGGGUGGCCUCAGAAUCAUCAUCUCUCUCAUUUUCUCUUUGAAUAAUAUGGAUUAAAAAAAAAUAAUAACAAAUUUUCAAAAAAAUCGAUCAUGGAUUAAAAAAAAAAUCACAAAUUUUCAAAAAAUUCUAUCAUGGAUUACAAAAAAAAAUUCGAUCAUGGAUUAAAAAAAAAAAAUCACAAAUUUUCAAAAAAUUCAAUCAUGGAUUACAUAAAACUCGAUCAUGGAUUACAUAAAAUUCGAUCAUGGAUUACAUAAAAUUCGAUCAUGGAUUNNNNNNNNNNNNNNNNNNNNNNNNNNNNNNNNNNNNNNNNNNNNNNNNNNNNNNNNNNNNNNNNNNNNNNNNNNNNNNNNNNNNNNNNNNNNNNNNNNNNNNNNNNNNNNNNNNNNNNNNNNNNNNNNNNNNNNNNNNNNNNNNNNNNNNNNNNNNNNNNNNNNNNNNNNNNNNNNNNNNNNNNNNNNNNNNNNNNNNNNNNNNNNNNNNNNNNNNNNNNNNNNNNNNNNNNNNNNNNNNNNNNNNNNNNNNNNNNNNNNNNNNNNNNNNNNNNNNNNNNNNNNNNNNNNNNNNNNNNNNNNNNNNNNNNNNNNNNNNNNNNNNNNNNNNNNNNNNNNNNNNNNNNNNNNNNNNNNNNNNNNNNNNNNNNNNNNNNNNNNNNNNNNNNNNNNNNNNNNNNNNNNNNNNNNNNNNNNNNNNNNNNNNNNNNNNNNNNNNNNNNNNNNNNNNNNNNNNNNNNNNNNNNNNNNNNNNNNNNNNNNNNNNNNNNNNNNNNNNNNNNNNNNNNNNNNNNNNNNNNNNNNNNNNNNNNNNNNNNNNNNNNNNNNNNNNNNNNNNNNNNNNNNNNNNNNNNNNNNNNNNNNNNNNNNNNNNNNNNNNNNNNNNNNNNNNNNNNNNNNNNNNNNNNNNNNNNNNNNNNNNNNNNNNNNNNNNNNNNNNNNNNNNNNNNNNNNNNNNNNNNNNNNNNNNNNNNNNNNNNNNNNNNNNNNNNNNNNNNNNNNNNNNNNNNNNNNNNNNNNNNNNNNNNNNNNNNNNNNNNNNNNNNNNNNNNNNNNNNNNNNNNNNNNNNNNNNNNNNNNNNNNNNNNNNNNNNNNNNNNNNNNNNNNNNNNNNNNNNNNNNNNNNNNNNNNNNNNNNNNNNNNNNNNNNNNNNNNNNNNNNNNNNNNNNNNNNNNNNNNNNNNNNNNNNNNNNNNNNNNNNNNNNNNNNNNNNNNNNNNNNNNNNNNNNNNNNNNNNNNNNNNNNNNNNNNNNNNNNNNNNNNNNNNNNNNNNNNNNNNNNNNNNNNNNNNNNNNNNNNNNNNNNNNNNNNNNNNNNNNNNNNNNNNNNNNNNNNNNNNNNNNNNNNNNNNNNNNNNNNNNNNNNNNNNNNNNNNNNNNNNNNNNNNNNNNNNNNNNNNNNNNNNNNNNNNNNNNNNNNNNNNNNNNNNNNNNNGAGAGAGGGAGAGAGAGAGAGUCUAUGAGAGAGAGGGACUUCGCAUCAAACACUUGGAGGUCAUCUUCUUCUUAUUCUUCUUCUCACAAAUAAAGUGGAAGCAUAUGGGAUCAGGUGUAUCUUUGUGUGUGUGAUAGAGAGAGGGGCCAAACACUGAACACUUUAAGGCCAUAUUCUUCUUUCUAUAAGUAGAGAGAGCACAUGGGCCCUAGAGAGAGAGAGAGAGAGAGGACACUACACAGGGUUGAAUUUUUGUUUGGGUGCAUUUAAUGUUAUUUUAUUUUCAAAGGGGUGGCACAGGCCUGCUAAACACCCACCUUGAACCCAUCUAGGCGAGCUAGGCCCCCAUCUUAGGCAUGGGCGUGUAGCCUAGCCGAUUAGUCGACGAGGCCACCUAGGUGGUCUACUUGUCAUCGCUAAUAGUGGUAGAAGAAGAAUCUAUUUCAACAAAUACAAAAUGAUCUGAAACAGUUCUUUAAAAUCCAAACUGACAUACUGCCAUACUAAAUUUUUUGAACCACGCCCGAGGUGAUUGUUUGAGUCCAUAUAUGGCUUUUCUCAAUUUAUAGACCUUCCCUUUCUCCCAAAGAUAAAUUCGAGGAGGUAAUGCCACAUACAUUUCCUCUUGCAGAUUGCAUGAAGAAAGGCUUCUUCACGCCUAAUUGGUGGAGUGGCCAUUUCUUGCUUACUGCAAUAGACAAAAGUACUUGCACUGAUCUCCUCAUAGUCAAUCCCAUAAAAUUAUAUAAAACCCUUAGCUACCAGACGAGCUUUGUAUCUCUUAAUUGAACCAUCUGGUUCGUGCUUCAGGGUAUACACCCACCAGCAUCCAAAUAUGUUGUCCUUCUAGCUGAGCAAUUACAUCCCAAGUUCGGUACUUCUCUAAGGCAAUCAUUUCCUUAAUCAUGGGUCAUUUCCAUUGUGGAUGAGCCAUUGCAUCUGCAACUUUGAUGCGAAUAAAAACAAAGGAAGUAGAGCACAGGUAUGCACAAAAGGAAGAUGGAAGUAAAGCAUAAGAAACAAACUUACUGAUUGGAUGAGAAGUAGAGUCCUUUUUUCUUCUUAUGGCAAUAGGUAAAUUGAGUUGAUUAGGCAUAUGGGUAGAAGAAGAAGAAGUACCUAACGAGUCAACAAGUUGGGUUGAUCGUUUACAACAAACAUUCCCUUGAUCGUUCGUUUUCCAGGUGUACACCUUAAGUUGUUUCUUAGUAGAUUUCACAUGUUCAUUAGUUAGAUUACCGGAACUAUGUGAUCAUUGGAAGAGGAAUAGGAUUAUCGGAUGGCAUAUUGAAUACCAGAUUUGUUUUGAAAGAAAAAUGGAGUAUAUUCACAUGGAAGGUAACAUACUUUGAGAAAUAUUUUCUUUAGUUUCCAAAUAAUAACUCUUGUAUAAUUUUUUGAGACUAUGGGGUGGAAUGUUGGUUGAGCAAAAAACAAUAUACCCAUAGAAUGAGUGUAACAGAGAUGAGGAUGGUGAGAUGGAUGAGUGGCGAGACAAAAAGGUAUAGAAUUUGCAAUGAAUCUAUUCGAGAGAAUUUAGGCGAGGCACUAAUAGGUGAUAAAAUGAGAAAGAGUAGACUUAGGUGGGCUGGCCAUGUGUGGCGUCAACCAAGUACAGCACCUGUUAGGAGGUGCGAAUUAGUUCAAGUGGAAGGACAGAAAAAGGGUAAGGGAUAUAGGGACUAAUGGCCUCACUGAGGACAUGGCUUUUAAUAGAGAAAAAUGGAGAACCAGGAUUCAUGUAACCGACCUCAAUUAAUUGGGAAAAGGCUAACAUGAUGAUGAUGAUGCUGAUGAUGAUCCUUUCUGAGACUUCGAGUAUCCUAGGAGCACACAUCUAGUAGACUGAUCCCUAAUUUAAUCUAGGUCGGCCUCGGCCUCGGCCCCGGCCUCAGCCCCAGCCCCAACCCCGGCCCCGGCCCCAGCCCCAGGGUAUGCACAAAGCAGACACAACCAAAGGCUUUUAGUGGGAGAGAAAACAGAGGAAGUGUGCAAUCGAGAAUAAGUGUAGCCAUUCUAUUGAUCAUAUAGGCAGCAACAAAAACUGCUUCAUCCCAAUAUGUCUUAGAAAUCUUCAUUCUUAUUAAGAUUUCUCUUACAACUUCUAACAAGCGUAUUUUGCCAUUCUACUACACCAUUUUGUUAUGGUGUAUAGAAACAUGAUGUUUGAGUUUAUAUAUCAUAUUCAAGAAAAUAUUUUUUUAUCCAUUGUAUAGAUAAUCUCAUGCACUAUCAAAACCAAAAAAAAUUAUUUAAGUCUCAAACUUGGAACAUUUUAAGAAAUAUUUUAACUACUGAAGGUACUUCAUCUCUACUUUUCAUAAGAUAGAUCCAAGUAUAAGGAGAGUAGUCAUUGACUAAUGAGAUAAAAUACCGUUAUCUACAUAUAGAAAUUAUAGGAGUAGGGCCCAAAACAUUAGAAUGAACAAGAUGGAAAGGCUUAGAACUUCAAUUUUCACUAGAAGAAGAAGAUCUUGCACAACGUUUAAAUAAUUGACAGUUGUAACUGAGGAACAUUCAAAGAGACAAAAAUUAUCAGGAAAUAAUACUUUUAAAGAUUUUAGAGACAUGGCCUAAUCGAGUGCACCAUAAGGACUUGCUCAUGACAUCGAGACUCAGAGCUAAGUGUAUUAGAAGUGUAUCCCGCGUUGAACAAGUACAGCCCAUUGUCGUCACAACCACCACCAAUCGCCUUUCCUCGUUUUCAGGUCUUGAAAAACACAAUGUCGGUAAAAUGUGACACUGCAGUUUAGUUUUUUUUUGUCAGGAUGCUAAUAGAAGGAAAAGAAGGCACAUGUAUUACAAAGGGUAAGGACGAGGAUUAUGAAAAUUUAUACUUACCACUCCCAAAGGCACUGGUCUUACAAGUCAUAUGGUUAUUAGUCCCAGAAUCAAUAAACUAGGGUGUAUAAGAGGUAGAGUUGGAGGCAUGGUUUGCAAUUGCACAUGUACCUGAAUGCUCUACUAGAGUCUUAGACCUGAGUGAAGCCUUGAGGGCAGUCAACUAGUGUUGUAAAUCAUUGAUGGCCCGAUCUCUUGGAUUGGAUACAUUUAAUUGUGUGACUGAGGUUUCUUCCCCCUCACUCGAUACAUUAUGGGCACUUGCAUUCCUUGGUUUCAGCAUCAAGUGUGGAUGCAAGUCAGUGCUCUUGGGUGUGACCUUUAACAACAAUGGGAGCAAUUAUGAAUCUCCUUUUCAGCAGGAGAGAGGGGGAAACAAUUUGGUCAUUUUGUACCCAUUUUCCUUGCAUGAAGCUUAUUGCAACAGCUGAUCGUUCAAGAUGGAUGCUUGAGUUUAGCCCUUCUGUAAUAGCCUUUCUAACUAGCCUCCCCUCUUAAAUAAUUAUACACUGACACAAGAAAGGCAAUUUGUCCUUUCUUAGAACUUUCCCUCUCUAAAGUUCAAAGUCAGGAUGUAAACCUAUUAAGAACUCAAAGAUCAUUCAUUGCUUGGCUUGUUUUAUAAUGUCUUCAACAGUGGGAUUAAUUGGCUGACAGGGGUCUAGUUUAGCUCAAUAUCGCCUUAAUAUCCCUACGUACUCUUCCACAGUCAUUUGUCCUUGCCGCAAAUUGGCUCUUUCACAAUGCAAUUGGUAAAUCUUAGCCAUAUCAUCACGUUGCGAGUAUGUCUUGAUUACUACUUUCCAUAUAUUCUUUGUAGCCUUAAGAAACAGCAGCCCCCUGCGGAUAGUUGACUACAAGGAAUGAAGGAGCAAUGCCAUUAUUGUCUCACUUUCCCAUUCAUCAUGGCAUGAAUCUCUUAUGGGAAGCUCUUUCACGACUCCUAUGAUAUAACCCAAUUUCCUCCGGCUUCUUAUGAACAUUUUGGCAAAUUGGGACCAUUCUAAGUAGUUAGUCCCAUCGAGCUUAACCGUAGUAAUCAUCAAUCUUGGGUGGUCAGAUUAACUGCUUCCCAAGGAAAUAUUGUGCCCGAUUUCUAACAUUUUCCUUCUCUAUCAAACUAGGAUCCCUAAGGCUCUUUUUCAAGGUACUAAUUCCUUAGUUUCAAAUGUGAGAUUGUUGGAAAUGUGAGGUUGUUGGAAAUAUGAGGUUGCUAGAAAUAUGGUGUUGCCAGAAAUAUUCGGUUGCUGAAAAAGGAGGAGUUUGGGGUAAAAACUUACUUACUGGUAGAGGAAAGCUAAAUGAUCACGUUCGAAAUACAAGGUUAAUGAUACACCACAACUUCAAGCUCAAGUAGUAGGUCACCGGAAAUAAUGGAUAUCCUAGGUUUUCACUCCUUGCUCUGAUACCAUGUUAAGAUUGAGAGAGAAGAGAGAGAACGUAAUAUUCAAGCACAAGAGAAAGAAAAUAUAGAUGUUUUUUUUCACUCUCUACAAAUCGUGGGGCAAUGUGCCCUAUAUAUAUACAUAGAUCCCUAUGGGAGUUAAUCACGUGUAGAUGAAUAUCUAUAGGAGUUGCAACCGUUAUGCAUGACUAUUACAGCCCAUUAUGUAUGAUUACCCCAUGAUUGUUACAGUAAAGAAAUACAUGACUGUUACAAAAAGAAUCCAUAAUAAUUAUUGUAUGCUUAAUGUGCAGGGGUCCCAUAACAGUCACUACAAAGAGAAUACAUGUCACUCUUUGAAGGUACCUGGGAUCUGCCAAAUUGUAAAAGAAUCACAAAUAAAAUGUAAAAUAACACUGAAUUACUUAUAAACAAGGUCAAAUAUUGAAUCUCACUCACAUGUGUAGCUUAGCCCCAAAGAAAUGAUUUAAGGAUAAUCAAAGAUCAAAGUCAGAUCGGGGCAACAACUAAGAGAAAACUAACGGAAAACUCAACAAGAUAAAUAAACUCAAAAGGCCCCAAAACUAUCUGUAGUAUUAACACAAAACACUUACCGAUUAAACUAUAUAAGACCACAAAUCAUAAUUAAUCAAUGAGAUGAACACAACAUUUUUCCCCACAGAUUCCGCACACCAUCUGCCAGCUCCACGCCUUAGCAAUAUAACACAAUUAAACUAUAUAGAGCAUCAUAUGAAUAUAAUGGCAACCAGUUCAAUCGUUUUUUUUCUUUCUUUAUCUUUUUUUGCCCCCAUAGUGAAAGACAAGAUUGAAUUCAAUUACGAUUAUACUGGGGUCAGCCCCAAAAAUGUGACACAAAGAACAUCACGGUUCACAAGGUUAAAGAAGUGAGAAUGAAAGAGGACGUUCUCAUUACAAGUGGAGGACAUCAUGAGGUUCUCGUUAUCCCAACAAGACCUGACAACUUAGAACAAACUACAUUCGCAUAUGUGUUCAUUUGCAUUCCAAAGGCAAAAAUACUUAUAUGUUCCAGUUCAUAGUGAUCUAUAGGAGUCCAUAAAAGUAUCAUCACAAACACAAUCUGAAUUGGCUCUGAAAAACAUCCCUCAAACUACGGCGCACUUGGAUUUGAAGUCCUUGGCCUUGCCUUAUCAUAGGCUUCCCUAGCACCCCGUCGAUUCCGACAGCCAUAUUAAUACCCUGAAUCUGCAAUUACAACAAGAAGGAAGCCAUAAAGCCACUAAUUCGUGAGAGAGAGAGAGAGAGAAGAAAGACAUAACACACAAAACAUGUGCAAUACUAACCUCCGCAUGAAGAACAUCAAGAUGAACUGCAGAAGGAUCUUUUUCCUGGCAUCCAUGCCAACUGAAACUGUUCCUCACUUGAAGAUGGCCCAGAUCAAGCUGCAUGAAACUGAAUUCUGGGGUACUUAAACUAUGAACAAAGACAAACUUAGAACACUACCUGAAUAAAAGUUACCAUAAGCAACUUCGAAGUUGUAUAGGAAUAAAUAAGCCAAAACAGUAUUUCGUCUUUUUUGUGUAACCAUCACAUUACUUUGAGAAUUUGAUAUCCAUGCCCAUACAUAACAGAAGACACUAGCAAACUUAUGUUUUUAAAAGGAAGUGAUACAUGGUUUUACUUAAAGUUGUUGGAAACACCUAUGAUUCGGAAUCAUCUCAGGAGUCGAAAUCGCGUGUAUCAGAUGUUUCUUAAACUUGGAAUCAUUGUUUGUACGAUUCAGAAUUACAAAUCGUGAUUCGCACUAUAUCGGAAUUGUGAUCCAAUAAAAUAGGAAUCUUGUUUCCUAUUUGUGAGAAUCGAUGUCCCUUCAUGUUGGAAUCAAGUUUCAUACCUAUAUGGAAUCACACCUGACCCCACAUAGUUUAGUGGAUUAUAGAAUCGCGAUCCAAUGAGAUUGGAAUCGUGAUUCCUACAAAUAUAAAAUCGUGAUUCCUAAAAUUCUGGAAUCGUUGUUCCCUUCAACUUGGAAUCAAGAUUCUCACCAUUUAGGAAUCGAGAUUCUCUGUAUACUGGACUUGCGCACCAAUCCCCUCCAGUAUAUGAAAGAAGUAUUCAAAAAAUAUUUAAAUUUUAUCAACUAUUAAUAGAUUGAAUUUUGGUCUGCAUAUAUUUAGUCCAAUUACCAAUGUCAACCUUUAUGAUAUCUUUGUCAACAACUCCAUACAAUAGACUUGGUCUACCAACAGCCAUUCACCUACAAGACCUGGAGCGGAUCUACGACAUACAACUAGUGAGAACAAGGACGAGCUCCCUCUAUCGCUUUUCCUUGAAUUUUAAAUAAGUAGAUGACAUAGAAAUUCUUCUUUGCUACUUUUGACUUUUGAAAAUUGAGUUAUUCAAUUUAAGUCAAUUUCUGAUAUUUAAUGAUUAAUUUACCCUAAAACACCAUAGGGCACUUCGCUCAUAUUCUUAUCCUCUUAUUCUACUUGAAGAAAAGCAGUGAUAGUAUAUCUUGGUACCCAUCAUAUCAUCAUCAUCAUCAUUUUAGCCUUUUUCCAAUUAUUUGGGGUCGGCUACAUAAAUCCUAGUUCUCCAUUCGGCUCUAUUAAAGGUCAUAUCCUCAAUGAGGCCAUAAGUUCCCAUAUCUUUUCGGACUACUUUCAACCACAUCCUUUUGGCCUUGCCCUUGCCAUUUUCAGUCUUUUCACUUGAACUAACUCGCACCUCCUAACAAGUGAUGUACUUGGUCAACACCACACAGGGCCAGCCCUCUUAAGUCUACUCUCUCUCGUUUUAUCGCGUAUUGGUGCCAUGCCUAAAUUCUCUCGAAUAGAUUCAUUUCGAAUUCUAUCCCUUCUUGUCUUACCACUCAUCCAUCUCAACAUCCUCAUCUUUGCUACACUCAUUCUAUGGGUAUAUUUCUUUUUGUCUACCCAACAUUCCGCCCAUAGAGCAAAGCUAAUCUUACUGUUGUCCUAUAUAACUUGCCCUUCAGCCUCAUUGGUAUGUAGCAAUCACAUAAAAUUCCAGUUGCACAUCUCCACUUUGCCCACCCAGCUCUCAUUCUGUGUGUGACAUCUUCCUCGAUCUCUUCAUUUUCUUGAAUUAUUGACCCAUGAUAUCAACAGUGUAAUCUUUUUUGUACUUCCUGGCCGUCAAUCUUAACUACUUCCUCGUCUCUACUCCUAUGAAUACUGAAGUUGCACUCCAUAUACUCUGUCUUAGUCCAACUAAUUUUAAAACAUUUGGAUUCUAAAGCAUCCCUGCAAAGUUCUAACUUUGUGUUGAUGCCGUUUCGGGUCAAUCAAAACUAUGUCAUCUACGAACAACAUGCACCACGGUACCUCAUCCGAUAGGUGCCAAGUAAGUCGUCCAUAACUAAGACAAACAUGUACGGGCUCAAUGCAGGCCCGUGACGUAGACCUAUUGUCACUGAAAACUCACUCGUUUCUCCACUAGUUGUUCGUACACUAGUUAACGCUCCAUCGUACAUGUCUCUUACCAAGUCGAUGUAGUGUUUAGAGACACCUUUCUUUUCUAACGCCCGCCAAAUCAAAUUUCAAAGUACUCUAUCAUAAGCGUUCUCAAGAUCAAUAAAGACCAUCAUUUACCAUAUUUCUAUAAAGACCAUCAUUUCUAUCCUUGGUACCCAUCAUAUAUUAAACAAUAUUACAUUAGUACCCACAUCAUUUACCAAAAAUUAUUAAAUUUGAAGUAAAAAAUUUUUUAGUAAUAUUUAUACCCGGUAAGAAAAGUAAGAUGGAAUUUGAAAACAAGGAUAGAAAUUAGAAAACAAGAAAUAAAAAAUUUCACAUAUUCCCCAUAUUUAAAACUUCGAUUUUAAUGCCAUGUACAACAACUUCAAAUUCACAAUUCCUAAAAAUUUUGAAUCAACGUUUCGCACAAGUAGAAUCGCAUUGUUGUGUAGCUAAGAAUCAAGAUAUUUGCGAUAUAGAAUCUUUAUUCCAAACAAAAUGGAUUCGCAAUUCCCAAAAUUUGGAAUCAAUGUUUCGCACUAGCAAAAUCGCAUUGUUGUGUAGCUAAGAAUCACAAAGUCUGUGACAUGGAAUCUUGAUUCCAGGCUUCCAAGAACCGAGAUUCAUAAGCUACAUUGAAUUGCAUUUCGAGAAAGUUGGAAACGUGAUUCUUUUCUUUCAGAAUCGAGUUUCGUCUUGGGAAACGCAGAAUCGAGAAUCCGAAACGGAAUCGCUACCCCAAUGGGCGAUUCAGGUAACUAUAGGUUUACUACUAUAUAACAUAAUUGUAAUUCAAGACUCUAUAUGCCACAAAACAAUCAACAAAUUCAAAUGAUGAAAUUAUGUUUUAAGAUAUCGUGAGAAAGAAGAAACUCCUAACUUAAUGGGGGAGAAGAAGAAGAAAAAGACGCUCGUAAAUCAAUGAUAACAAAAGAAAACAUAAGGAAAUCAAUGUACACUAGACAGCUCACAUAAUCCAUCUCCAAGGGAGAAUUUCCAGGUAAAAAGGCCUUCAGAGUGGGUUUUCCAAAAACUAUACAGUUACAAUAUCAAAACAGGAUGUCUGCAGAAACCACUCAUACAAAAUAUCCAAUACCAACACUUAAAACCAANNNNNNNNNNNNNNNNNNNNNNNNNNNNNNNNNNNNNNNNNNNNNNNNNNNNNNNNNNNNNNNNNNNNNNNNNNNNNNNNNNNNNNNNNNNNNNNNNNNNNNNNNNNNNNNNNNNNNNNNNNNNNNNNNNNNNNNNNNNNNNNNNNNNNNNNNNNNNNNNNNNNNNNNNNNNNNNNNNNNNNNNNNNNNNNNNNNNNNNNNNNNNNGAAUCAUCAGAGAUACCAAACUCCAAAACAAGCCUACUGCUGGUUUAAGCAUAUAAAAGAUAAUUACUGGCUGUCAAACAACAAACCAACAUAAUGACUCUAACUUCAUCAAACUGAUAAAAAAGGAAUUUAAUCAGAGUAAUGAAUCAAACAUAAUAUUGGAACAGUCUAGCGCAAAGGUAGAUGCAAACUAGUGGGAGUAAGGAUUCAACUAUUUAGGUCAAGCAUGAUAGAAAGAAACAAAUGAUUAACAUAAGUAAGAUUUUCUAACAGGAUAAUAAUGCAAAUAAUAGUAACACCACCACCAACACCACCACCACCAAAAACAACAACAAUGACAAACAACAAUCUUUCUAAAAAAAAUAACAAUAAUAAUGGAAACCUGUAAAGCAUUAAUUUCCUUCAAUUUGACAACACCGUAGCCAUCCGUUAUUGGCAUUCGUUGCAUACAAAUCCAGAACAAUAACAACAAAAACAGCGGCAGCAGCAACAACAACAAAACCAACGGUAACAAUAAUAUGGCCCAGGAAUAUCUACAUAAAGGGAUACGCACUCUUUGCUCUUGGAAUUUCGUGGCACAAUUAUUAUUGGUGUGUCCAGUGACAAGUCCAGCUUUACAGCUGUGGCACCAUCUAUCUCGUAUUUCUGAAUCAGCCAUUCCACACCACCAACUUUAUCCACAAGUCGAAUAGCUUCCUGAGUUUGUGGAUUGGCGAGUUCCAUGAAGUAUGCUGUUAUCUGUAGAUCGCAUUUUUCCAGAAGUCUAUGAUUAAAUCUUUGGAUAUAAAACUACUCAUUAAUCUUAACAAUCCAAAACUCAAAAGGAAGAAGAAAUUCUUAUAGCCUCAACAAAAUAAAGUGUCUGUUUAGAGUGCGGCCGCAGUCCAAUUAAUAUAGGGCAGUGGAUAGCACCAUUCUGGCUGCCACACCAAAACAUUUCCCAAGACAAAAUGUCAAUCGUUUUAAAAUGUUGAAUCAUAAAUAACACUGUCAAUAAUCUCCUCAUAAAGCAAUCUCGCAUCCAUAAACAAUGAAUAAAUCUCAUCAUGAGAAAAUGAACUGCGAUUAAGCAGCAGCUUAUCAAAAAAUGAUUUACAUCGAUGGCACGGUAAAUAACAUACCUCCUGAACAAAUCUGUAGAGGAAAACAAUACGCACUGCAGAAAGUCGUCCACUCAAGCUAUAGUCAUAUCCAGCAUAAUCAUCAUCUUCAACAUUGUAUGACUGAAAUGUGAACUACAGAAAAUAACAAAACAACUUAGCCUCAAGACAAUUAAAUGAAAUGCUCCAAAGAAAAAAUUGACCCAAGUUAAAUACUAAGAAAUUCAGAUGCGAAACACUCGUCACCCCCAAGUGGAAUGCUGACACUUCAUAUGUAGUUGGAUUUAGGGGAAAAUAAGCACUCAUAGUACAAGAGCCCAAAAUUACCAAACUAUAAAUCAGACAUCCAAUCAUGUAUGCAUUAUUUUAUGCAUUAUUGAUCUUAUCAAAAUUCACCAACCAUAAAAGCUCUAGAACCAAAACAGAGUACCUUAAUAAGUGACUCAGCUCCCUGAUCACGUAUGUCACAAAGCCAUCCCCACCAAUGAUCUGGACCGAGAGACAUACCACAAAGUCUCAAAUUACCCAAGGUCCCUUCAAUUGAAAGAGAGCCCGGAUGAACCUAGAAAAGCAUAUAACAAUUAAGCAAUAACAUUGACAGUAAACACAAAUUUAAAAUAGGGAAUUCCAAUUGUCCCCCAUGUUUUGAAUAUUGCUACUAAAGAUUUGGGUGGUAGAAAGACAAUGGCCUUGUAAAUUGAAAAUCACGUCAUGAGGUGAGGACUAAAAACACUAGUAAAACAGAACUUCAAACAAUCCAUACUUCAACCAUUUUCUUAACUAGAAGUAAUUGACCUAGCCCGGGCUCAAGUAAAAAAAAAAAUUAAAUAUGAUACUAGGUGUACAACAAUAUGAUACUAGGUGUACAACAUGCAACAAAUGAUUCGGAGACACAUACAAAAC